rnacentral:lncRNA from 1 species
UCUACAAGAAGGUGGACGAGGCUCUACCUAAGGUUAGCUUCCUAGGCUUAUUACAUGUUGGGUUUGAGUUAAUAUGUGUCUAAAGAUUCUCAAAUUGUUCCUUACUGUCGUCCAUGCUGGACUAGUAAGGCACCCCGAUCCUCACCCAUUAACGAACGAAAAUGGUUCAAUUUGAAUGAAAGUAUUUCACUUGCCAUUACAGAGGUUAUCACCUCACGAGGGCAUAGGUACUUUACUUUCCCUAUAAGGGACUGAGCCUAGGUAUAGAACUCAUGCAUGAGAUGCAUUGUGUCAUUAUGUGUAUAUGUUUCCUAAUUUAUCAAGAGUAAUAUAUAUAAAAAAAAAUAAAGUAUAAGAGACAGUAAAAAAAACACGUGUGAAUUUUUCUUUUUGUUUUUGAUUUAUUUAUUUUUAUUGAAAGCGAAAAAUAAAAUCUAAAAAAAUUGAUUAUGACUGUUUUAAUCAAAAUUUAAAGAUAACAUGUAGUUAAUUUUGGCCUAACUCUCGAAAAUAAAUUACUCUCCAGUGGAGUCACCAAGCUAUCAUAACGGUUUUGUGUUCGUUCGAUGAAUUUGAAAAAAAUAAAAAAAAGAGUCACCACAACUUUUUUUUGGCUAUGUGCAAUUGACCACCUAUUAAAAUUUAUCAUUUUAAUAACAUUUUAAAAUUAAUUAAAAUUUAUUAAAAAAACUAAUUUUAUGAUCUGUAAAACAGUCUGGGUUCAGGAGUUGGUUACACGUGAGGAAGGAUUAGCACCCCCACAAUGCCCGUUUAAAAAUGGUACCACUUAACUAUCUGUUAUUCUUUGAUUUUGAAAAAAAAUAGUCUUAUUUUCGGUCUUUGAAAAAUAAUUUUCUUGAUUUUUUCAUUUAUUGGGAAUUGGUGUUUAUAUUCAAAUAUUAUUUGAAAAAAUAAAUUAGAACAUUUGUAUUGAAAUAAUUCUUAAAAUAUUUCAGUACAUUGGUAACAUUAGAAAAACUCUUUCUUACCUAGAGAUUUUUUGGGUAUCGUUUCUUGGAAUACUUUAGAAUCUCAUCUUCGGAGGUUCAAAUUUAUUUUUCAUAAAAAAACUAUGCCAUGCAUGCAAUACAAAUGAUAAUACGUUAAUACACACAUUUUAUUUUUUGUUUAGAAAUUUUAUUAAUUGAUUUCCUUUUUAGUUAAAUUUUUGAAGAAAAAAAAAGAAAUUUUUAUUAUAUUGAAGUUUUAUUAUAAAUAUUCAAAUAUACUGGUAAUAAUUUAAAAAAUCUUUUCAUUUAGAGAUUUCGUAAAGCAUCGCUACUCGGAAUACUUUUAGAAUCUCAUAAUUGGAUAAGAUUUCCUUUUUUCUUAUUUUUUAUUACUAUUCCUUUAUCACUUUGUUUUCAAUAAGUUAGUUAAUUUUAUUUAUUAUUAAUAGAAAAAAUUUUAUUAUAUUGAAAACCUUUUAUAAAUAUUUCAAUACAUUGGUAGUAUUUAAAAAAAAUCUUCUCACCUAGAGAUUUCAUAGGUAUCACUACUCGGAAUAUAUUUGAAUCUCAUCGUCCGAUAAAAAUUUUUUUUCUUAUUUUUUUAUUAAUUUAUAAGAUUUAUUCUAAAAUUAACAAAAUUAUCAAAAAAACUUUAUUAUAUAUUUUAUCAUAUAUUUUUACUUAUUUCAAUAAAAAAUUAUUCUAAUAAAUUAAACAUUUUAAUAUGCAUGAAUAUUAAUAAUAAAUUUUAAAAUAAUAUAUAAAAAAUUUUUCAAAAAUUUUUUUUUUACCUGAACCGAACCGGUUAAUGGUCUGGUCAACGCGAGUUUGAGUUGGUUUGGUGGUUCAAUCCGAUUGGUUUGAGUUCAGCGAUUCGACGUCAGUUUGGUUCGGUUUGGCCUAGUUCAACUAGACCGAUUGAGAGGCAAAAGAGAUAACGGGUAUUCGGGUCGGGUGCGUGGAUCCUAGGUCAGGUUGCGGGUUGACGCACGGAUCUUCUAGGGUUGAAAUACCGUCGUUUUGCUUUUUUCCUAAACAACGUCGUUUUAAAGGCCAAAUUAGCUAUUUUUUGUUUUCUUCUUCCUCUUUCUCUCUCUUCCUCUCAGACUCUCUCCUUCUCUUUCUAGUAACCCAGAAUCAGACGAUUGCUCCGUCAUGUCGACCCCCGUUAGUGGUUGCCGACCGUUGUUCGUCGGUUACCUAAAAAAAUCUCAAGAUUCACCAAAUGGAUGUUCCCAACCUCCUGAGUCCAGAUUUGGGCCUGUUUUUGUGAAAAUGGGCUCUAAAUGGCCUAGAUCUGGCUUGGAAGGUUCGAUAAAUUUUUUUUUAUGUUUGUGUUGUUUUUCGUUUGGCACUGUGGUCCUUGUUUCCAGAAGCUGUUGUUUCUGUGUUUGUAUGUGUUUUGGUUUGCUUUGGAUUUUUUUUGUUUGAUAAAAAAUUUUUUUCUUUUUUAAUUUGGCAUAUUUUUUUGCAGUGCUUUGGGUUUCUUUUUUUUUUUUUCUUAUGGUGUUUUUUACAGCUCUAUUUAUAGAGCAAGAGGAAGAUCAAAAUCUCAGAUAUUUUGAGAUUUUGAUCACCUACGAUUAGGGUGGUCAUUGGCUGUCAGAAUUGCUACCGGUAGCUGUCAGAGUGGCUGGCAACUGUAGGCGGCUGUUAGAGCUAUUGGCAAUGCAACUGCCGGUAGUCAACAGUAAAGCUACCAAAAGGAGGAAAAAAGAAAAAAAAAGAAAAGAAAGAAAAAGAAAAAAAAUAAUUAAUUAAUAAAACAGUGUCUACAACCAUAUCAUUAAAAAAAUUUUAAAAAUAAAAAAAUAAAUUUUGAUUUUUUUAAAAUAAAAAAUUUUAAAAAAUGAUAUGAAAAUAGAUGAUAUGAUAAUAAUUGAAGAUUUAUAUCACCUGUUAUAAUUGUAUUAGAUAUUAAUGUUGCAUAAGCAACUUGAUUACUGCAUAAGCAACUUGAUUAAAUAUAUUAGUUUAAAGUAUCAAAAUAUUUAAUAAAAUAAAAUUUGGAUACUAAAAUGAAAAUUUUAUUUUUUUAGAUAUUAAAUUAAUAAAAAAUUUAUAAUGCUUAUGUCAUUUUAAUAUUUAACCCUUAAGACUAAGGUCUUAAGUAACAUAAGCUAAAAGUAUCCAAGAUUGCAUUUGGACGCAGCGGCACCCCAGUUCAGUGCCAUUUGAAUUACUUUUUUUACCUAACCGUAUCAUCACGAUUUUUUUUUUGGGCCAAUUCAAGCAUUGUAUUCAUAGAAACCAUCCUAUACACUUCCAAGAUCAGUUGCAAUAAUACAAAGAUACACAUAGAAAUCUUCACAGAACAUCACUGCAUAUCAAUGUACUUAACAAAACAAUUAUGGCGGUGCAGGUAAUCCAUCCUUAUCAAGUAUGAACAUUAAAGAAAGAUUGGGUGUAUUCACCCGGCUGUCAAGGCUCAUCUUCUUUCUGAAUUGGACAGCUCUCCAAUUCGCAGUUUAUUAGCUUUUUUUAUCCACACACACAAAUUUGACUUCCUCCAGCCUCUUAAUACUUCUUAAUAUGUCUUUUACCACUGGCUAAAUUCUCCACUCUUGUUCAGUAACUCUAGAACAAAGAUGGUAAUAGAGAAUGAGGGAAUCCAUUUCCAAUACAACUUUUGAGAACCUUUCUUUCUGUGCUAGCCAUACUCCUUCUCUUGCUGCUAUGGCUUUAGCUUCUAUACAAGAUUUCACACAGAUUUCUUUUCCAGUCCCUCCUAUCACGAUGUUCGAUUAACACAAGUGUGGCACGGUUGAAUAUUUUUACCGUGCCACAAUUUUUUUUCUCUUGAUCUAAAAGGUUUAUUGAAAAUCUUUCUUUUCAUUACACCCUUUCUUUCAAUUCAGUUCAUGUCUCUUUAUUUUCCUUGAGGUUAUAAUAAUUAUGCAAAAAUAUUUUUAUCACUAAAUUUUUAUUUUUUAUUUUUUUGUUUCCAUUUUGAUCUUUUAUUUAAAAAUUUUAAAAUAAUUUUAUUAAUUUAAUAUAUAAAUAAAAAUUUAUCAUUAUACAAUAAAUUAAUAAAAUAAAAUUUAUUAUUAUAUAAAUAAUUAAUAAAUAAUAUAUAUUAAUGUUUUGUUUGAAUAAAAAUUUAUAAUUUUAAGUUUUACAAAUAAUAUUAAUGUAUACAUAAAACUACAUUAUUUCAAUAAUUAAUUUUAAUUUUACCACGGUAGCUAUAUUAACUAACUAGUUGGUAUCCUGCACUAUGCUGCGGGCUUAUUUAAACUAUAAACAUAAAGUGUUCACCAAAGGCUUAAAAAUAUUCAAAGGCUAUAGCCAAAACAAAGAACCGAGCAGUCAAAAUGAGAAGCAUUUACUUACUGACCUCAAGAACCAGAAAUUCAGAUUUCGAGCUUUAUUGAAAACCUAAAAAUAUAAAAUAUAAAAUUUGCUCAAAGUUAAAGAAUUUGACUCACUAAGCAUGACCAUAAAGGUAACAAACUGAAGAGGGGUGUUAAUAACACCUGUCAAGAUCAACUUUCCAUCGAGUUUCAACGAUGAAAGGUAAGGCUCAAGAGGGUGAAAAAUAGGUACAGUGUCAACAAUGUAGUCAAGUGAAUCAGCAGCCUUUUGCAUCCCUUCAGUGUCAGAGUUGACAAAGUAGUCAUCAGCACUAAGAUGCUCGAAGGCCUCUAUUUUUUUCUUAUCAGAAGAGCUUAUAACGGUUACAUGAUGUCUCAUUGCUUUUGCUAUCUUCACCCCCAUGUGCCCUACUCCUCCAAAUCCUAAUAUCCCUCCUCUUAAACCACUCCCCAAUUAACCAAAGUCAUUUAGUGAGCUGUAACAGUCACCCCAGCACAUAAGAGCGGUGCCACUUGUUCCGGUGCCAUUCCAUCUGGGAUUUUCACCACAAACAUAAAACAGAUGACAACAAAUAAGUUCAUUUACCAAGAAAAAAAAAAACUCCAUAAAAGAAAGGCACAGGUUGAAACUAAUUUCUCUUGGACUGUUGUAUUAUUAACUUCUAGAUUAUAUAUUUCAUGAUUAAUAUGAGACUUAGUUUGGCUUGAAAAUUAGCUAAAUACUCUAUAAUCAUGCAAUUAAGGAACCUGGGAAUUGGAGAAAAAAAAAAGUCAUCUUAGCAAUGUUUUUAUGCAGAACACAUAAUGUUUAUGAUUACGAUUGAUAGUUUUGAACUUAUGAUCCUUACUUUUGAUAAACGACCAUGGAUCCAGUAAAUCCACCUUGUGUGGGUUUGCCAUCAGUGUAGACAUCAUUGCAUGACCAAAUCUUCUUGUUGCAAUAUUGUUCAUGAUCUGUGUUGCAUGGCCUGCAGUUUCUGCAACAUCCAAUAAUACAACGAAUGCCAACAUCUCCUACGCUAAACUUGUCCACAACAUAAGUUUAUAUUUAUUCACCACGUAAUUACCCAAACCUUAUCGAUUGAUUCGUUGUCUGCUCAACUUCAAUUCCAUUCAUUCCUUCACUGAUAGAAACACCACUAUUCCCAUUUGGAGCAAAACCAGAAUCCUGCAAAUUAGUGACAAGUAAAUGCUUUAAAUACAACUGGGAAUUCAAAGUUUGUCUCAAUUAUUUAAUUAUCAUAUACUGUCAAUUUAGGUACCUCUGACAUCAAAUAGCUGCUCACAUCAGGAGUAAGAGGCAGAUUUGCCACCUCGUCUUCAUAGAAAUCUUCAUGUAGUUUUGGUAAUACAUUCUCAUCAAACUCUCUAGAUAAAAUGUACCAUCAGAAAUUAGAAAUGCAAACAUAAGAGGAUGAUGAGGAUAGAUACCCAUUUAUAAAGAAUUGAACAUUCAAAAUUAAUGGCUUACUUGAAAAACAAACCUUUGAAAUUGCAUGCAACAUUUCUUGCUACGCAGAGGAUUGGAACUGCAUUCACUGUCUAAUAAAGGAGGGAGAGAAUUUGCCAAAAAAAUUAGAAAAAAGAAAUCAUAUCUCAAUAAGUUGGCUUACCAAAAAGGCAUAUCAUGUACCUCUGCCUGAGGAGCAUAAUAUGGUGCAAAUUAAGGAACUACAUGAACUCUAGGUUGAUCCUUAUCCUACCAGACCUUUGAACGGUCAUCAAUUACCAUUGCCAUCUAUGGAUGCACUUGCCAUCUCGGAACACCUUUAGCAAAGAUUGCCUGAAACUUGCAACAAUUAUUAAAAAACAAAAGGACAUUGAAUUUAUUAAAGUAGAUGGCAAGGUGGGGCUACCAUCAAGAAAAGGAGACUACUUACUACAACAGGUUCUUUGUUUGAACCAUCAGUUUUCAAAUAUGCUCAUCGAAAAUUAAGAUUCAACAACUUAGAUUCCACAAAAUAACAUAAUUACUUUAUGAAGUUUCGUUUUUAGAAUGAUAAAACAUCAAGAUCCAACUACAAAAGAAAAUAUUUAAAAUUGUUAUACACUUGCCAGAUUUGACACAAACAACUCAAUCUAGUAGUUGCUUUGAACUUAUCAGGUAUGCCUCUGGAUCAAGAAGUCUCCGCAUCUCUAAGGCAUAAUCUCUUUCAGCCAUAUUACAAACAUAUACUUCAAAGCAUUUUUGUCAUUUUAUAGUCAAAUAACUUCUCAAUUCCUCCCACGCAAGACAUAACAUCACAAGCACGCUGGUUUCACCAAUCUGAACAAGGCAAACUAUUCAUAAAUAAGAUAACAUACACAGAUUCAUAUUCCAAAUAGAUUCCAUCUAUUCAUCCCAUGCUCUGUAGAAAUGUGUGAUAUUGAGUACUUAUCAUAAUGCCUACAUCACAGGAUGAUAAUCAGCUCAGUAAAUUCCAUGUGACACCUCUUAAAGUCUUAAGUCUUAAAUUACAUCAUAAAUCCAGUUGAAACAAUUACUACUUAGGGAUGCUUGAUUUAAGGUGUAAUUUCAACCGGAUGCUUAAUGUUUGUGUAAUUUCACUAAGCAUCAACUGGAUUUGUGCUAAGCAGGAAUUGUACACAAAUCCAGUUGAAUUGCAAAAACCAUAUGAAUUGCACAAACGAUUUCCUCAUUACCCGUUUAAGGUUUGUGUUGUUUAAGGUCCUAGAGAUCCAUAGGGAUUGUAUAAAUUGCACAAAUAGGUUAUGAAAUUAUACAAAUCCAGUUGAAUUGUACAAACUCUAAGCAGGAAUUGUAUAGUCUUAAUCCCUAUUAUCCAUUAAGUUUUAAAUUACAUUUUGUUUACUUGGCAUUACCACUAUAUGAACCUCCUCAUCUCAAAUCAAAACUGCUGCCAAUUAAGAAACCACAGUAAAAAACAAUUAAUUAUAUUAAAACACUAAAAAUGUAAUUAAAGUUUUGAAUAAAAAAAUGAAAGAAAUUAAAGAACCUUGAAUUCAUAAAAGCAAGAGGCAUGGAGGUGAAUCAAAUGCGGUUGUUCAACCAGAGAAGAGGAUUUGAGCUUGCAACGAAAGGGCAAUGAGGAAAUCAGAUGGAGAAUUGAGAGAGGCCUGCAUCAUUUGAUUGUUAAAUUGCAAUGAAUACAAAACAAUCGAAUACAUACCACCCCCAAUUAUUAAUCCAAAACAAAUAAAACACAGUUUAACAUUCAUAUUGUCCUGUCUAAGCUGUGACACAUCCUGGUUCAGUCUUUCAACAUGGAACUUUAGCUAAUUGGAUUCUAGUUCCAUGCUCAGCAAAUGCCAACGAAAAGCCUCUAACUUCUCAUCUUUCAAUCUCAUUUGUUCUGCAAAGGCAUCCAGUUUCAAAAGGUGUCGCUUCUCAAUUACAGUUUCAUACUUUUUUGCUGCUGCUCAAACCCAACCCCAAUCUCUUGACAUCAACUGUCACUACUUCAAAUGCAAGGACAGAAAAAGAAUAAAAACACAAAACAAGAAAAGAAAAUCUAAUACAAAAAUGAUAACGAUCUUAACACAGUAAGCGUUCGACUGGAUCCCAUAUACUAUUCAUACACAAUGCUUGGUGAUCAAGAGAAUUAUAAAGAAAUUGUUCUUACCCAAGCCCUUACCCCCUUCCGGAGAAUGAUAAUCAGGAAGAGGAGAAAAGACUUCUGGAUCUGUUUUCAACUCUGAAUAGUCAUAUUCCAAAAUAAUAUCAGUCGGCUGUAAUCUGAUUUUACCAGAGUUUGACAACUCUUCGACACCCAAGGAAACAUCCAAUUUUGAAACGGUUUGUUUAGCAAAAAUAGACUCCAAUGAAUGUCUCUCAUGUCUAGACUCAGAGACUGCCCACCACCUUUCUGUUUCUAGUUCAACUUGCUUCUUCUUUGCCUUUGAUACUUUAAUCUCCUUCAAAGGCAACUGCUUCUCUGUCGUAUACAACUUAGAUUUCCUUAGCAUUACGGACAAAAUCUUCUCUUUCUGCUCCAAAUCCUUGCACAUUUUUGUAACUUCUAAGGACAAUUUUUGCGCCAAUAAAAUUGACUUCGCUCAACCUCGAACCAUCCUUAUUCAAGUUAUUCCAAGAGUCAUCACUAUUUUUAAAUGCGCAAUUGCCAGAUUCGUUCUUAAUUAAAACAUGCAACCGCAGAAAACUUGAAUAUAAAAACUUCCAGAAACAUUCUUUGUUCUCAAUUAAAACAUGCAAUUUGAUUUUUGGGCAACACAUGCAUAUAUAUAGAAGUAUUUUUUGUUCUAAAUUAAAACAUGCAACCACAAAAAUGGCGGGACAUCAACUAUCAAGCUUACCAAUUCUAAAGAACAGCAUGCAUGGUUGCUGUUCUGAAGGUCCAAGAAGGAAAUAUUACCAAAUGGAGACUUUAACUGGAGAUUGAAAUUUGAAUGAUUGGAGAUUAAAAUUUGAAACAACUGUUUGAGUUGAGGAGAGAAGGAAAGAAUGAAAAGGUCGUGAAGAACCGACUAUAAUAGCAUCAAUGCCCAUUGUCGACCUAAACAUGAAUCAAGAAAGAAAAAGACGCCUUUUAAAAACUUCUUCCAAUUGAUUGUUUGUCUAAAUCUAUCCUCUCUUUUUCUCUUUUUGACAUUGAGUACGUGUACUUACAAUUGGAGUCGGGGACUCCUUUUAUUAUAAGUAACAGAUUUGACUGCUUUUAAUUUUCUUAAGAGCCGCUCCCAACGCCCAAGAGGGCCCUAAGUCUUUGACAACCAGUGACGAGAUUUAGGAAGACAAUUCGACACUAAUCUUAAUUUCAGCUUUCCCUGGCAACGUUGGUGUCUGAGUCUACUGUAAUUAACCUAUUAACGUCAUCGUAAUCAGCAUCACUGUCUCCCUCCUUCAUUGCACGUGCACGAACCAAAUAGAAAAAGUUGAGAAAAAACAUUAGAAAAUGUUCUCAGAAGAAACGGUGUUCUCCACAUGCUAAGAGAAGUGGGAGGGAUUUGAGCUUAUCCGUUACCCUUACUGUAGCAGUUCAAGUUCAAGUUCAAGCCCCGUACCCCCACUCAGCCUCAAAAACAUAAAAGUGAACUCAUUUACAAAUAAAUACGGAAAAGAUUUAUGUAUAAAGAUUUUUAUAAGCUAAACUUAAGAAUUUACAAGUAGAAAAUGGUGGAUUAAAGAGAGAAAGAGAAGGGAGAAGAAAAAGAAUAGAAUGCCAAAAGAAUGCUUAAAACUAAUUACAAUAAAGGUUUAAAUAGAAAAAUUUUGAAUAGUAAUUAUGUACAGUUUCUGUUAUAGUGUAUAGUAAAAUUUUAUUUAAAGUAUUGUUACAGUGAUUUCAAUGAUAAGUCUCUAUCUUUUUCUGUUACAGUGAUUGUUACAGUUGACUCUUAUAAUUUUUUUUUGUCUGCUAGUCUCUAAAGCUGAGUGAACUUAUUAUUUUGUAUCGGCAGUUAGCUUAUCUUUGUUUGGAAUAUGUAUAGUAAUUAUCCUUCCAUAAUAUUGUUUAUGUUAUAGAGUUCUUCAUCCAGUGCAUUAAGAGAUUGGGAUGAUAGAGGAGAUCUAAAAUGUGAUUUGUUCCAUAUUUACCAUCCUUCUUGGUACUAGUAUAGUAAUUAUGUGGGAUGAUCUAGAUCUUUCAUGGUAGAUAAUUUUUCCAGUAGCUGGAUUACUUCUAGUUCAUUUUGAAUGUCCAGAUCUUCAUGUGGUUCAAUAAAUCUAAGGACAAAAAUUCGUCUGACAUCUGUCCAGCAGGCUAUUUUAAGGUAAUCUGGUUUUGUAGCUAAACGGAGAAAGAAUUUUGCUUUUUCCAUUAGGUCAAUUCCUGUUUGAAAAUGAUAACUGUUUGAGUUUAAAUAUUUAGUGAUGGUUUUGUUUAAAUCAUUUGAGAAAUCGAUAUGCUCUGUUGGUGGAUCAAGUAUGGUAAGCGGUUGUAGAAAAUGUCUAUCGGAUAUUCUAUCAAAUUCUCAUAUUUGAUAUGGUUGGUAAAAUCUUUCUCUUUGAAAGGAACCCAAAAGAUUGUAUAUAGUAAAAUAGAUGUAAUAAAAAUGUUUUGAACAUUUUAUACAUCCGUAAAAGUGAUGCUUUAUAAAAACAGAAAAAUCUUUUAAAAGAUGAAAAGAAAAGUUUUGUACAGUAAUUUGUCUGACUAAACCAAGUUCAAUGGUUUUUACAUCAAAAGUUUCAUGAUCGAGUUGAAAUUUAAUUUUCGGUAUAAAUUCACCGAGUGCAAUAUUAUACAUAUAAGUAGAAGUAUAAUAAUAAAAAAAAAUUUAUCAACAAUUUUCUGCUAACUGUAGAAUAGAAGAAUUAAUUUACUGAAAUAAUUUCUUGGUUAAGAAUACCGUAGCUUUUUUAAAAAGAAGGAUUCUUAUAAGCUUGUUUAGCUUAGAGGAAUUAUAAUUCUCUUUUUCAAGAUAUUCACAUAAAUUCAAAAAAUUGUUUAUCUCUUAAAUAUUGUACUGAUUUUCUUCCAAAGCAAAGAAAUCAAUAUCUUGUUAUUUUAGCAGAUUUGUUGAUAGAAGGCUUUGAAAAGUUAUUUUUUUAAAACUCUGAAAUUUUUUAACCUGGUUGACUAAGAAUUCAGCUAAUUUGGUCAUUCCUUUUCGAAAGCUAGAUUUAUUUUCUGAGAGAUGGGAUUUCCAAACAUUGUUUAACAAACUGUAGACUUAUGGUUCAAGUCAAGGUUAUAAAAAUUUUUGAUCUCUGGGUUAGAGAGUUUUGUUCUUUUAAGCAGUUGUUUUGCUGAAAAAACUAUUUGAGAGUAACUCAUGGGUGUCCAUUCAUUUUGAUCUUGAGUGAAUUGAGAGAAUUCUGGUUGAAUCCUCAUGAAAGGAGGUCUGUAAAGUGGUUGUUGGUAGAGAUAUAAUCCUUGGUUAGGAUUAUUGUAAAAACUAAAUCCUGGGUUAGGAUUUGUAGAGAAAACAUGGGGUCUUGGAGAAGUAGAAGAAGAUGAAGGCUUUUUACCUGUUUUCUUCUUGAUUGUUCUCCAUUCUUUUGUAUCUUGGAGAAGUUGUUUUCCUCGAUCCAUUGGGUCGGCUCAAAUAGUUUGCUAAGAGGUUUUUGUCUCCGUUGAUGAACUCUACCUGAAAAUGAUAUUGAUAAAAAAAAAUUGUACCACCUAAUAUGCCUGGGAUUAUCAUAAAGCUUUUUAUUUUAAAGAAAGUUUCUUACUGAUUGGUUAUCUGUUCGGAUAACAAAGAUCUUAGGGGCUAAAUAGAUGUGGAAUCAUUGUACACCAUUUUUUAUGGCUAAUAAUUCUUUUUCAAAGAUAAUAUAAUUUAUUUCAUUCGGUUUGAAUUUACUGAAAUUGUAGCCAAAAAUCAAUUAAUCUUUUUUAUAAAGAUUUUUUACUUUAAAGACACAUCCCCAAUGUUCUUCAUUGGCAUUUAUCUUUAAAAUCAAUAGGCCACCUUGUUUAGGUAGAAAAAGCUUUGAAAUAUAGGUUAGCUCUGAUUUAAUUUGUUUGACAAUAUUAGAGUCUGUUGGUGUCCAGACAAAAUCAUUAUCUUUAUGUAAUUUACGCAAAAAGAUAGCUUUCUUUUUUAGAAAAGUUUUUGAAAAAUUACCUGCCAUAAUUAAGUAUACCUAACAGCUAUUGUAGCUGUUUGACAUUAUCCAGUUGUUCUGAAAACUUCUUGAUCUUCGAGAUAAUGUGAUCCUGCAAUGUUAGUCCAUUUGUAGAUAAGUUGAGACCAAUAAAUUCUAUGUCAAUUUUUUCAAGUUCUACCUUUUUGGGACUCAAAAUAAUACCAUGUAAAAUAAAUUCUUGAGCGAUAAUGUUCAGGUAUUUCCUAUGCUCAUCCAAAGUAUUAGAAAAUACUAAAAUAUCAUCUAUAUAAACACAGUAAAAUUAUUUUAUGUUUACUGAAAAUAUUAUCCAUCCAACGUUGAAAGAUUUGAAGGGCAUUGCAUAGACCGAAAGGCAUAACAGGCCAUUGGUAGUGACCUGUUAGUGCACUAAAAGCAAUUAAGGAUUUGGAUAAAUCUGUAAGCAUGAUUUGCCAAAAGUCAGAUUUACAAUCAAAUUUAGAAAAAAAUUUAGCAUUUUUAGCUAAAUUUAUCAAAACAUCUAUUCGAAGAAUAAAAUAGCCAUCAAAAAUAAGAUUUUGAUUUAAUUUCUUAUAAUUGAUAACCAUUCGGGGUUUACCUCUUUUAAUUUCAGAAUGGUUUCUUACCAAAAAAGCUGGACUAGAGUGAGGGCUAGUAGUUGGUUAUAUCAGACCUCUGUCGAGUAAUUUUGAAAUUUGAAGUUCGAAUUCAUCUAUAUCCUACUUGGUAUAGAUCAUGGGUUUUACUCUGAUAAUCUCUUUUGGAUCAUGAAGAGUAAGUUCACAGUAUCUUGGACUUUGUUUCCAAAGCUUCAAUGGGUCUUCACUAAAGUUUUUCUAUUCCAUGCUGAGUGGAUUAUCUCCUGCAAAUAUAAAAAUUUGAGCAUUAUCUGUAUUACCUGUAUGGCACAUACUGUUUGCUUGUCGGAGGUUUCUAUACUGUUUAUACUGUGAAAACCUAAAAAAAGAACUUUGAUAAGGAGUAUAAAAAGAUUGAUUACUAGUUAUGCUUUUUAUAUCAUCAUUUUGUUAAUGAUCAAAAGCAUUAGUAGGGGGUAAAACCAAAUUGGGAUUAAAACUGGUUGAUGCAUAUAGAUUUUUGAAGUAAAGAUUUUUUUCUGAUGAGAAAAAUUCUAAACUUGGUACUUUUUGUUUUUCAGAAAUAGUAGAGAUAUCUUCGAGACACCAUUAUUUUAGGAUAGAUAAGUCUGUGAUGUUAACCAAUUUUGGUUUGAUUUUUGAAUCAAAACUAUUCGGUUCAAAAAUCUCAAUAAUACUGGAAUCUAUCGAUAUGAUAAAAGUAUUUGUAGUAUUUGUAAAUUCAUAAACUAUUGAUAAGUUGAUUGAAAGGUCAUGCAAAUUAGAUUCAAUAUCAUAAUUGGUUAUUUUGAUACGAAGACACAAACAUUUUUCAAUGUUUUAGUCAAAAAUAGAAAUAAAAUAGUCUGGUUUAACUUUAAAUAAAAUUACUCAUGCUGCUAAAUUAGAUUGGAUUCCACCAAUUACAACAUUAGCAAGAUUUUUAAAACGGUUAUCCAUUAAAACAGCUAUGAUGGGAAAAUCUUUUGUAGAUAAAAAUAGUGGUUUAAUGGUGAUCAAAAUCAUACCUAUAGGUUGUAUUUGAACUUUAGAUAUUUAGAAAGAAAAUAGUUUUUUUUUUUUUAGUAAAAAGAUGAAUUUCUACCGAUCCUUAUUUAGAAUCAUUAGCAACUGUAUCACCAGAUAGUUUUUCUAUAUAGCGCUUAUACCAGAGUUGGAAUUUUUUAAAUCAACUUGUUUUGUAAAUCUGAUCUGGUUUGAUGAAUUGUAAUUAUUUGAUUUUUUCUUUAGAAAUAGAAUGAGUUUUUCUCAUAAUAUUUUUGAGUUUAAGCAUACCUUCGCCUUCAGUAAUUGUUGUACCUGCUGAAGAGGCAACUGAAACAUUAUCUUGGUUAGAUUUAGUAUUCAGCAUAAAAAGAAAAUCAGAUUCAUCGUUAGAAGAACUGUAAUCAAUUUCUGAAAAACUUCAUAAUAGACUUCUUCGUCAGACAAUUCAUCUGUAAAAAAAAUUUGAAGAAAAUUUUCAUUAAGUUUUUUGAUCAUUUUCUUAGCACUUUUCCUUUUAUUAGGGCAAUUGUUUGCAUAGUGACUUUCUUGACCACAAAGAAAAUAUUUGCAUCUUUUAGAAGAUUUUUUCUUCUUUAUAACAACAAAUUUACCUUUUUUAAGUUUAAAAGUUGUAGUGGGUUUCCACUUUUUUCCAAAGAUAUUUUUGUUUUUUCUUAAAACGAUUUUUCUUUGAGAAAGAUUGUUUAUUGCAACCAAAUUCAAAUUCAUUUACUAAAAUCUUUGUACAUUGUUUAUACGAAAGUUUGGACCUUACCUACUUAGCAGCUUUUUGCUUGAGGCAAUAUUCUGUGAUUUGAGUCUAAACAUAGUGUAUUCUAUAUCCAAGAGUAUCAUAGAGUUCGAUACUGAGAUUUGAAGCAUGAACUAUUUUGAGUUUUAACUCUAAAUAAACAGGAUAAUUUUGUAAACAUAAUUCAUCCCAUGGUGAGGGAAGUUUGAGAAAAUACUAUUGUAACCAAAACUUUGAAUGUUUUUCAUCCAAUUUUUGAUAUUCAAAAAGAUAUCUUUUAGAGAAAUCAACAAGAUAUCUUUUAGAGAAAUCAACAAGAUUUCGAAUAGCACAUAGUUUUAAUUUUGAUAAAGUAAAUUGAGCUUCUUGAGUGGGAUCCAGAGAUUCUGUGCUUUCACAAAACUCAUUUUUCAAGAUUUGGGCUAAAUCUUUUAGUAAUUGAGGAAUAUUUCUUGCGGCUAAUAACGUUGAUUUUUGCUGUUCUCUGAAGGUUGUUGUUUUUCAUUUUUUGAGAAAUUAUAGGACAUCACCUUGCCAUGUGCCACAAAAGUAAUUAAGAAAUUGUUCUUUGUUCCAUUGCUCCUUGUAACCUGUGACAACAAUAGACAUAGAUUGUGCCCAAUUGUCUAUGAUUUUUUUAUAGUCUUUGAGAGGAACUUUGGUUAAAUUCAAAUAAGAACCAUAUUGAGAAACUGUUCGUUUGUUUAGCGAAUCAAUGACAGGGUUUUGAUCUUAACCUGACUUGUUUUGGCCAGAUUCAGAUGUUUAUUUUAUCUCAUCCUUGUUUAGGUGCGAAUAUUUUUCUUUCAAAUGAGGAAGGUGUUGAUCCAUUAUAUCCGGAUCUAGCAAAUCUAAAAAUCUUAAAGUAUCAUCAAUAUCUAGGUUAGAUAUUACAAAUGCUUUUCUCUUCCCACGCUCUUCUAGUUGAAGGAUAAGAAUUUGACUUGGUUCUGGAUCUGGUUGAUCAUCAAAACUAUCAGUGUCAUCUGAUGUGGUUUCAUCUGAUGAAACUGGUUCAUCCUUGACUAUUGGAUUAGUAGUAAGAAUCUCAAAAUUAUCUGCUACUAAAUUAUCAUUUGCUUCUUCACCACAAACACUGGUUGUGCCAUAGUUAAGCAUAUAAUGAUAAUUAUACUUAAUAAAAAGUCUUUUUUGUUCUUCAUAAAAAGUCUUUAUAGCUUGAAGAUAAUCAAUCCGUUGUUGCGGAUAUUCAAUUUUUUUCAUUUUAGACUUAAAAUUUUCAAUAAUAUAUUUAUAAGAGUCGAAAUCAAGUUUUUCUUGUUUCUCCUUUACUAAGGAAGAUGAAGGUUUUUCAUCAUUCAUCAUAACAUUACCAUAAUAAAAAAGUCCAAAGUCUAUAAAUGUAUAUGAAGGAACAUGUCUUUGGUCUAUCUUUUCUACAAGCAAAUUUACUUUAUCUUCUAUAUUAUCAAUUUUUAUAAAAAGUUUAUGAAAGAAAAAAGAAGUUAAAUCUAUUAAACCAUUUAUAGUUCUACUUAUGCUAAUAUUACUAGAUUCACACUUAGGAUCUAUAUGUAAAUCAUGAUUAUAAGACUUAUCUUUACAGAUACAAGUAUUUUUCUCAUAAGUUUCCAUGUUUCUGAUGCUUAAAACUGGUGUGUUGUUCUGAAAAUGCUAGCAAACAAGGUAACCUAAGCCACAAACGCCAGCAAACAACUCAGAUAUGCAUGUAUGAGCUUUAAAACAAAGAGCUUAAGAAGAAGAUGCAAGUAAAAGGAAAGAAAAUCUUACAAGAUUAAGUCAGGUUAAGAUCGAAACCCCUAUCAUAGAUUUAUUAAACAAACGAACGAUUUCUCAAUGCGAUACUUAUUUGGAUUUAACCAAAGUCCUUCUCAAGACUAUGGAAAAACCAUAGAUGAUUGGGCACAAUCUAUGUCUAUUAUUGGCACAGGUUACAAGAAGUAAUGGAACAAAGAACGAUUUCUCCAACAUAUAUGUUAAAAUAGUAAGAUAUUGAUUUUUCUAUUUAAACCUUCACUGUAAUUAGUUUUAGGCAUUCUUUUGGCAUUCUACUAUUUUUUUUCUCUCUUAUCUUUCUUUUUUUAAUCCAUACUCCUCUACUUGUAAAUUCUUAAGUUUAGCUUGUAAAAGCCUUUAUACAUAGAUCUUUUUCACAUCCCCUUGUAAAUGGUAUCAGAGCUUUAGGCUUGUACAAAGAUUUACUAAGCUUGUAUUACAGAUUCAACAAUAACGAUCUACUUGUUAUUCAUCUUGUAAAAUUUUAUUUCCUUUUACUUGUAUCUUCUUCUUAAGCUCUUUGUUUCAAAGCUCAUACGUGCAUAUCUGAGUUGUUUGUUGGUGUUUAUGGCUUGAGUUACCUUGUUUGCUAGUGUUUUUAGAACAGUACACCGAUUUUAAGCACCAGAAACAUGGAAAUUUAUGAAAAAAAUACUUGUAUCUGUAAAGAUAAGUCUUAUAAUCAUGAUUUGCAUAUAGAUCCUAAGUAUGAAUCUAGUAAUAUUAGCAUAAGUAGAACUGUAAAUGAUUUAAUAGAUUUAAUUUCUUCUUUCUUUCAUAAACUUUUUGUAAAAAUAGAUAAUAUAGAAGAUAAAUUAGAUUUGCUUAUAGAAAAGAUAGACCAAAUACAUGUUCCUCCAGAUACAUCUACAGACUUUGGACCUCUUUGUUAUGGUAAUGUUAUGAUGAAUGAUGAAAAUCCUUCAUCUUUCUUGGCAAAGAAAAAAUAAGAAAAACUUGAUUUCGACUCUUAUAAAUAUAUUAUUAAAAAUUUUAAGUCUGAAAAAGAAAAAAGUAAAUAUCCGUAACAACGAAUUGAUUAUCUUCAAGCUAUAAAGACUCUUUAUGAAGAACAUAAAGGAGUCUUUAUUAAGUAUAAUUAUCAUUAUAUGCUUAACUAUAGCACAACCAGUGUCUGUGGUGAAUAAGCAAAUGAUAAUUUAAUAGUUGAUAAUUUUGAGAUUCUUGCUACUAACCCAAUAGUCAAUGAUGAACCAGUUUCAUCAGAUGAAACCACAUCAGAUGAUACUAAUAGUUCUGAUGAUCAACCAAAACUAGAACUAAGUCAAAUUCUUAUUUCUUAACCAGAGGAGCUUGGGAAGAGAAAAGCCUCUGCAAUAUCUAACCUAGAUAUUGAUGAUACUUUAAGAUUUUCAGAUUUGCUAGAUCUAGAUAUAAUGGAUCAACAUCUUCCUCAUUUGAAAGAAAAAUAUUCUCACAUAAACAAAGAUGAGAUAAAAUAAACAUCUGAAUCUGAUCAAACAAGUUAGGUUAAGAUCAAAACCCCUGUCAUCAAUUCGCUAAACAAACAAACGGUUUCUCAAUGCGAUACUUAUUUGGAUUUAACCAAAGUCUCUUUCAAAGACUAUGAAAAAACCAUAGAUGAUUAAACAUAAUCUAUGUCUAUUGUUGUCACAGGUUACAAGGAGCAAUGGAACAAAAAACGAUUCCUCAACUACUUUUAUAGCACAUGACAAGGUGAUGUCUUGUAAUGUCUCAAAAAAUGAGAAACAAUAGCAAAAAUCAAUGUUGUUAGCCGCAGGAAAUAUUCCUCAAUUACUAAAAAUUUAACCCAAAUCAUGAAAAAUGAGUUUGUGAAGAAUAGAAUCUUUAGAUCCCACUUAAGAAGCUCAAUUUAUUUUAUCAAAAUUAAAACUAUGUGAUAUUCAAAAUCUUGAUGAUUUUUUCUAAAAAAAUACCUUUCUGAAUAUAAAAAAUUAGAUGAAAAACAUUCAAAGUUUUGGUUAUCACUUACAAACAGGAAUUGACCUAAUGGAAAAAAUAAAAUUCUUUCUCCAUUUAGCUACAAAACCUGAUUACCUCAAAAUAGCCUGCUGGACAAAUGGCUGAUGAAUUUUUAUCCUUAGAUUUAUUGAACCACAUGAAGAUCUAGACAUUUAAAAUGAACUAGAAGCAAUUCAGCUACUGAAAAAAUUAUCUACCAUGAAAGAUCUAGAUCAUUCCACAAAAUUACUAUACCAGUACCAAAAAGGAUGGCAAAUGUGAAACAAAUCACAUUCUGGAUCUCCUUCAUCGCCUUAGUCUCUUAAUGCACUGAUGAAAAACUCUAUAAUAUAAACAAUAUUAUGGAAGGAUAAUUACUGUGCAUAUUCCAAACAAGGAUAAGCCAAUUACCGACAUAAAACAGCAAGUUCACUUGGCUCUCGAGACUAGUAGACAGAAAAAACUAUAGCAGAUAGAAAAAAUAUCACUGUAGCAGUCACUGUAGUAGAAAAAGAUAAAGACCUAUCAUCGAAAUCAUUGUAGCAGGUCACUAUAGCAGUACUGUAGAUAAAAAUUCUAUUGUACACUGUAGCGAAAAUGGUACAUAGUCACUAUUUAGAAUUUUUCUAUUUAAACCUUUGCUGUAAUUAGUUUUAGGCAUUUUUUUGGCAUUCUACUUUUUUUUCUCUCUUAUCUUUCUCUCUUUAAUCCACCAUCCUCUACUUGUAAAUUCUUAAGUUUAGCUUGUAAAAACCUUUAUACAUAGAUCUUUUUCGCAUCCCUUUGUAAAUGGUAUCAGAGCUUUAGGCUUGUAAAAAAGUUUGCUAGCUUGUAUUAUAGAUUCAGUAAUAAUGAUCUAUUUGUGAUUCAUCUUGUAAGAUUUUUUCUCUUUUUACUUGCAUCUUCUUCUUAAGUUCUUUGUUUCAAAGCUCAUACGUGCAUAUCUGAGUUGUUUGCUGGCGUUUGUGGCUUGAGUUUCCUUGUUUGCUAGUGUUUUCAAAACAGUACACCGAUUUUAGGCACCAAAAAUAUAAAAACUUAUGAAAAAAAUACUUAUAUCUAUAAAGAUAAGUCUUAUAUUCAUGAUUUGCAUAUAUAUCCUAAAUAUGAAUCUAGUAAUAUUAGCAUAUGUAGAAUUGUAAAUGGUUUAAUAAAUUUAACUUCUUUUUUCUUUCAUAAACUUUAUGUAAAAAUGGAUAAUAUAGAAGAUAAAGUAUAUUUGUUUGUAAAAAAGAUAGACCAAAGACAUGUUCCUUUAGAUACAUCUAUAGACUUUGGACCUCUUUUAUUAUGGUAAUGUUAUGAUGAAUGAUGAAAAACCUUCAUCUUCCUUAGCAAAGGAGAAAUAAAAAAAACUUGAUUUCGACUCUUAUAAAUAUAUUAUUGAAAAUUUUAAGUCUAAAAUAAAAAAAAUUGAAGAUUCGUAACAACAGAUUGAUUAUCUUUAAGCUAUAGAGACUCUUUAUGAAGAACAUAAAGGACUCUUUAUUAAGUAUAAUUAUCAUUAUAUGCUUAACUAUGACACAACUAGUAUCUGUGGUGAAAAAGCAAAUGAUAAUUUAGUAGUUGAUAAUUUUGAGAUUCUUGCUACUAACCCAGUAGUCAAAGAUGAACCAGUUUCAUCAGAUGAAACCAUAUCAGAUGACACUGAUAGUUCUGAUGAUCAACUAGAUCCAGAACCAAGUUAAAUUCCUAUCCCUCAACCAGAAAAACGUAGGAAAAGAAAAGCAUCUACAAUAUCUAACCCAGAUAUUGAUGAUACUUUAAGAUUUUUAGAUUUGCUAGAUCUAGAUAUAAUAGAUCAACAUCUUCCUCAUUUGAAAGAAAAAAAUUCUCACCUAAACAAGGAUGAGAUAAAACAAACAUAUGAAUCUAACUAAACAAGUUAGGUUAAGAUCGAAACCCCUAUCAUCGAUUCAUUAAACAAACGAACGAUUUCUCAAGGCGGUACUUAUUUGGAUUUAACCAAAGUCCAACUCAAAGACUAUAGAAAAAUCAUAAACAAUUGGGCAUAAUCUAUGUCUAUUGUUGUCAUUGGUUACAAGAAGCAAUGGAACAAAAAAUGAUUCUUCAACUACUUUUGUGGCACAUGGCAAGGUUAUGUCCUACAAUUUCUCAAAAAAUAAGAAACAACCCUUGGAGAAUAGCAAAAAUCAACGUUGUUAGCCACAAAAAAUAUUCCUUAAUUACUAAAAGAUUUAACCCAAAUCUUGAAAAAUGAGUUUUGUGGAAGCACAAAAUCUCUGGAUCCCACUCAAGAAGCUCAAUUUAUUUUAUCAAAAUUAAAACUAUGUGAUAUUCAAAAUCUUGAUGAUUUCUCUAAAAAAUAUCUUUUUAAAUAUAAAAAUUGGAUGAAAAACAUUCAAAGUUUUGGUUACAAUAGUAUUUUCUCAAACUUCCCUCACCAUAGGAUAAAUUAUGUUCACAAAAUUAUCCUGUUUAUUUAGAGUUAAAACUCAAAAUAGUUCAUGCUUCAAAUCUCAAUAUCGAACUCUAUGAUACUCUUGGAUGUAAAAUACGCUACGUUUAAAUUCAGAUUACAGAAUAUUACCUCAAGCAAAAAACUGCUAAGCAAGUAAAGUCCAAACUUUCGUAUAAACAAUGUACAAAGAUUUUUGGAAAAUGAAUUUGAAUUUGGUUGUAAUAAACAGUAUUUCUCAAUGAAAAAUCAUUUUAAGAAAAAACAAAAAUAUCUUUGGAAAAAGUGGAAACCCACUACAACUUUUAAACCUAAAAAAGGUAAAUUUGUUGUCAAAAAGAAGAAAAAAUCUUCUAAAACAUACAAAUAUAUUUUUUGUGAUAAAAAAGGUCACUAUGCAAACAAUUGCCCUAACAAAGGGAAAAGUGCUAAGAAAAUGAUAAAAAAACUUGAUGAAAAUUUUCUUCAAAUUUCUUUUGCAGAUGAAUUGUCUGACGAAGAAAUCUAUUAUGAAGUUUUUCAAAAACUGAUUAUAGUUCUUCUGACGAUGAAUCUGAUUUUAUUUUUAUGCUGAAUAUUGAAUCUAAUCAAGAUAAUGUUUCAAGUUGCCUUUUUAGUAGGUACAACAAUUACUGAAGGCGAAGGUAUGCUUAAACUAAAAAAUAUUAUGAGAAAAACUAAUUCUAUUUCUGAAAAAAAAAAUCAAAGAAUUACAACUCAUCAAACUAGAUAAGAUUUACAAAACAAGUUGGUUUAAAAAAUUCCAACCCUGGUAUAAACACCAUAUAAAAAAUCUAUCUGGUGAUACAGUUGCUAACGAUUCUAAAUAAGGAUCAGUAGAAAUUUUCUUUUUACUAAAAAGAAAAUAAACCAUUUUCUUUCUAAAUAUCCAAAGGUCAAAUACAUCCACAUAGGUAUGAUUUUGAUCACCAUUAAACCACUAUUUUUAUCUAUAAAAGAAAUUCCAAUCAUAGCUGUUUUAAUGGAUAACCAUUUUAAAAAUUCUGCAAUGCUGUAAUUGGUGAAUCCAAUCCAAUUUAGCAGCAUGAGUAAUUUUAUUUAAAGUUAAACCAAACUAUUUUAUUUCUAUUUUUGACGAAAACAUUGAAAAAUGUUUGUCUUCUUAUCAAAAUAACCAAUUAUGAUAUUGAAUCUAAUUUGCAUGACCUUUCAAUCAACUGGUUAGCAGUUUAUGAAUUUACAAAUACUACAAAUACUUCUAUCAAACCGAUGAUUGCAAUAUUAUUGAGAUUUUUUAACCGAAUAGUUUUGAUUUAGAAAUCAAACCAAAAUUGGUUAACAUUGCAGACUUAUCUAUCCCAAAAGGAUGGUGUCUCGAAGAUAUCUCUACUACUUCUGAAAAACAGAAAGUACCAAGUUUAGAAUUUUUCUUAUCAGGAAAAAAUCUUUAUUUCAAAAAUUCACAUGUAUCAACCAGUUUUAAUCCUAAUCUGGUUUUACCCCCUACUAAUACUUUUGAUCAUCAACAAGAUGAUGAUAUAGAGAGUAUAACUUCUAAUCAAUCUUUUUGUACUCCUUAUCGAAGUUCUUUUUCAAGUUUACACAAUACAAACAGUACAGAAACCCUCCGACGAGCAAAUAGUAUGUGCCAUACAGGUAAUACAGAUAAUGCUCAAAUUCUUAUAUUUGCAUGAAAUAAUCCAUCUCAGCCUGAAACAGGUGAUAACCAAUCCUUUUAUCAUUCUGUUUAUUCUGUUUUAAAUUCACACACUUUUUUUUUUCUAGAAACACUAACAAUGAAGAAAUCAAAAUGUUUCCAGAACAACUGGAUAAUGUAAAACAGCUACAACAGCUACAACAGCUGUUAGGUAUAGUUAAUUAUGGCAAGUAAUUUUUUAAAAAUUUUUCUAAAAAAAAAGAUAUAUUUUGCGUAAAUUACGUAAAGAUAAUGAUUUUGUUUGGACACUAACCGACUCUAAUAUUAUCAAACAAAUCAAAUCAGAGCUAACCUAUAUUCCAAAGGUUUAUCUACCUAAACAAGGUGACCUAUUGAUUUAGAGAUAGAUGCCAGUGAAGAACAUUAGGGAUGUGUUCUUAAAGCAAAAAAUCUUCAUAAAAAAGAUGAAUUAAUUUGUGGCUACAAUUUCGGUAAAUUCAAAUCGAAUGAAAUAAAUUAUACUAUCUUUGAAAAAGAAUUAUUAACCAUAAAAAAUGGUGUACAUCGAUUUCACAUCUAUUUAGCCCCUAAGAUCUUUGUUAUUCGAAUAGAUAACCAAGCAGUAAGAAACUUCCUUCAAAAUAAAAAGCUUUCUAAUAGUCCCAGGCGUAUUUGAUGGUACAAUUUUCUUUGUUAAUAUCAUUUUCAGGUAGAGUUCAUCAACAGAGACAAAAACCUCUUAACAUACUAUCUGAGUCGAUCCAAUGGAUCGAGGAAAACAACCUCUCCAGGAUACAGGAGAAUGGAGAACAAUAAAAAAAAAAACAGGUAAAAAGCCUUAAUCUUCUUCUACUUCUCCAAGAGCCCCUGUUUUCUCUACAAAUCCUAACCCAAGAUUUAGUUUUUACAAUAAUCCUAACCAAGGAUUAUAUCUUUACCAAUAACCAUUUUACAGACCUCAUUUCAUGAAGAUUCAGCUAGAAUUCUUUCAAUUCGCUCAAGAUCCAAAUGAAUGGAUACUUAUGAGUUACUCUCAAAUAGUUUCUUCAGCAGAACAACUGCUUGAAAGAACAAAACUCUCUAACCCAAAGAUCAAAGAUUUUUAUAACCCUGAACUUGAACCACAAGUUUACAGUUUGUUAAACAAUGUUUGAAAAUCUUAUCUCUCAGAAAACAAAUCCAACUUUCGAAAAGGAAUGACUAAAUUAGCUGAAUUCUUAGUCAACCAAGCUAAAGAAUUACAGAGUUUUAAAGAAAUAGCUUUCUAAAGCCUUCUAUCAACAAAUCUGCUAAAACAACAAGAUAUUGAUUUCUUUGCUUUGAAAGAAAAUCAAUACAGUAUUCACGAGAUAAACAAUUUCUUGACUUUAUGUGAAUAUCUUGAAAAAGAGAAUUAUAAUUCUUCUAAGCUAAACAAGCUUAAGAGAAUCUCUUUUUUUUUUUGAAAAAGUUACGGUAUUCCUAACUAAGGAAUUGUUCCAGUAAAUUAAUUCUUCUAUUCUACAGUCAACAGAAAAACUGUUGAUAGAAAAUUUUUUUGAUUAUUAUACUUCUACUUAUAUGUAUAAUACUGCACUUGGUGAAUUUAUACCAAAAAUCAACUUUUGACUCGAUCAUGAAACCUUUGAUGUAAAAAGUAUUGAACUUUGUUUAGUCAGACAAAUUACUGUAUAAAACUUUUCUUUUCAUCUUUUAAAAUAUUUCUCUACUUUUAUAAAGCAUCAUUUUUACGGAUGUAUAAAAUGGUCAAAAUAUUUUUAUUACAUCCAUUUUACUAUAUACAGUCUUUUGGGUACCUUUCCAAGAGAAAGAUUUUAUCAACCAUAUCAAAUAUGAGAAUUUGAUAAAAUAUCUGGUGGAUAUUUUCUACAACCCCUUACCAUACUUGAUCCAUCAACAGACCAUAUCGAUUUUUCAGAAGAUUUAAACAAAAUCAUCACUAAAUAUUCAAACCCAAACAGUUAUCACUUCCAAACAGGAAUUGACCUAAUGGAAAAAAUAAAAUUCUUUCUCCAUUUAGCUACAAAAUUAGAUUACCCUAAAAUAGCCUGCUGGACAGAUGGUAGAUGAAUUUUUAUCCUUAGAUUUAUUAAACCACAUGAAGAUCUGGACAUUCAAAAUGAACCAGAAGCAAUCUAGCUACUGAAAAAAUUAUCUACCAUGGAAAAUCUAGAUCAUUCCAUAAAAUUACUAUACCAGUACCAAGAAGGAUGGUAAAUGUGAAACAAAUCACAUUCUAGAUCUCCUUCAUCGCCCUAGUCUUUUAAUGCACUAGACGAAGAACUCUAUAAUAUAAACAAUAUUAUGAAAGGAUAAUUACUGUGCAUAUUCCAAACAAGGAUAAGCCAACUGCCGACACAAAACAACAAGUUCACUUGGCUCUUGAGACUAGUAGACAGAAAAAACUAUAGCAUAUAGAAAAAACAUCACUGUAGCAAUCACUGUAGUAGAAAGAGAUAGAGACCUACCAUCGAAAUCACUGUAGCAGUACUAUAGAUAAAAAUUCUACUGUACAUUGUAGCGAAAACUGUACAUAGUCACUAUUUAAAAUUUUUCUAUUUAAACCUUCGCUGUAAUUAGUUUUAGGCAUUCUUUUGGCAUUAUACUCUUUUUCUUCUCUCUUAUCUUUCUCUCUUUAAUCCACCAUCCUCUACUUGUAAAUUCUUAAGUUUAGUUUGUAAAAACCUUUAUACAUAGAUCUUUUCCGCAUCCCUUUGUAAAUGGUAUUAGAGCUUUAAGCUUGUACAAAAGUUUGCUAAGCUUGUAUUACAGAUUCAGCAAUAACGAUUUAUUUGUUAUUCAUCUUGUAAGAUUUUAUUUUCUUUUACUUGCAUCUUCUUCUUAAGCUCUUUGUUUCAAAGCUCAUACGUGUAUAUCUGAGUUGCUUGCUAGCGAUUGUGGCUUAAGUUGUCUUAUUUGCUAACAAUUUCAGAAUAGCACACCAAUUUUAAGCACAAAAAACAUGAAAACUUACGAAGAAAAUACUUGUAUCCUCUCUCUCUCUCCCUACUUCUUCUUUAUUGAAUUUUGAAGUUUCUAUGAUUUUUUAUUUUAUUUCUGAUUAUUGAAUUGUGAAAUGAAUCCAUUUUACCGGUAGCUUACUUGCAAAUUCUUAUUUCAGUUAUUCAACUUUUUUCUUUUCCUCUCUCUAACGAAAACUGAAAAAGAGAAGAAAGUAUAUCACUCCCAGGUGAAUAUUGCCUUGCUUCCUUGACACCCUUAUAUAUAUAUAUAUAUAUAUAUAUAUAUAUAUAUAUAUUCUCUCUUUGUUGCCUAUCAUUCAUAGUCAUAACUUAACAAAAAUGACCUAUCAAGCAAAAAAGCCAAAAACAAAAGCAUGGUUCAACACCAUUGGCCAUGAAACCAUGCCAAAAUUUGAAGUUUUUAAAAGGUUCAGGCGUUUGAGACUCUUUGAGCCAUGUUUGGGGGUUCUUGGCUUCUUCUUUGUUGCUGUUUUUGUGAUUUGUUGUUUCUUUUACUUGGAUUAUAGAGUUGUGUCUAAAGGGUAUAGAGUUCCUAGUCAGUCACAUGGAUUUAUGUGGCUUAAACUAGAUGGGUCUUCUUCAAGUGAGAUUAAAAAAGUUGAUUUCUUGAGCCAGGAAGGUAAAAGGUGUGAUGUGUUUGGUGGUGAUUGGGUGUGGGAUGAAACUUAUCCUCUUUAUGAAUCCAGAGAUUGCAGCUUUCUUGAUGAAGGAUUUAGGUGUACUGAAAAUGGAAGGCCAGAUUUGUUCUACACCAAAUGGAGAUGGCAGCCUAAGCAUUGUAACCUUCCCAGGUUUUUAUUUUUCUUGAUUAUUUUAUUUUUAUUUUUUUUUUCAUUCUCUUACACUUUUUGGUUGCUGAGGAAUUAACGGGAAACAAAAGACAGAUGAAGAAAAUUUUGAUUAUUAUUAGAGCCUGAUUUACGGAAAGUUUUGAAGUUUUGAAGUUUUGGAAGCAAUAGCGACAGAAGCUAUGAAGAUUGAGUGGUUUUGAAAUGUAUUAUUUUUAUUAAUUUUGUUGGUUUAGUGCAGUCUACUUGUGGUGUUUGAGUUUCAUUGACAACUAGCCAUUUUUCUUUGGUUUUUUUCCGUAUACGCUCUUAGGCUUAAUCAUAAAGCUUUAAAAAUUAUCUGUACAAAUGAAAAUGACAGCUGUUCAAUGUUCUUUUUCUUUUUAUGUAUUUUGGUUCCUAAUUAAUUUCACUUCUUUUCCUGAUAGAUUUUCAAAGCAAGUUGGUUCACAAGUGGUUGGACUUAGUGCGAAUUUGACUAUGGUUUCCCGUGAUUUUAUUAAAAUUUUGUCUUUUCUUUCCAGUCAACUUCAUCAUUGUUCAUUUCUGUAUCUGUUCCUUUCUCAUAAUUUUGUGGCCAUGUUCUGCCGUGGGUAAGCCUCAACCGUGAACACAUAAGGAUUUGAAGCUUUUUUAAACAAUGAAGGCAAAAUUAGCUUUCUCUUUGUAGUAAUUGAAAUCGGCUAAUUACCAUUUACCGAUAUACUAAAGAUUACUUUAAUACUGUAUUUCUUGAGUUAUUACUAGUAACUGGUUAAUUAUUCAAAUACUAUUCAUAUUCUACUGCUGCUCUUUGAUGGCAUUCUCUUAAAUUUUAAGUUUUAUUUCUGACUUUUAUAUCCUAGAAGGCUUGUGACCCUUCUUUUAUUUGUGGUUGUUGACUUAUCUUUGAUUCUUCUCAUCAUUGUAGCAUUAUUUGGCAAUUGCCAAUGGAAAAUAUAAGGAUUUGAGAAUACUUGAUUGUGUUUGUUAUUUGUUCAUGAAGGUUUAUUUAUUUGUUUUACUUUCAUGGAUAAAACAGAUUUGAUGGAAAAUUGAUGUUAGAGAAGUUGCGAAACAAGCGAUUGGUUUUUGUUGGUGAUUCAAUUGGAAGAAAUCAAUGGGAAUCACUCCUCUGCAUGCUUGCUUCUGCAGUUCCCAAUAAAGAUUCUAUAUAUGAAGUGAAUGGCAGCCCAAUUACGAAGCAUAAAGGUUUCUUGGUAUUCAAGUUCAAGGGUUAUAAUUGCACCGUGGAGUAUUAUAGAGCUCCUUUUCUUGUCCUGCAGAGCAGGCCUCCCGCUGGGUCUUCGGAAAAGAUCAAGACAACACUUAAACUGGAUCAAAUGGAAUGGAAUUCUUUUAGGUGGAAAGACGCAGAUUUAUUGGUCUUCAAUACCGGGCAUUGGUGGAAUUAUGAGAAGACCAUUAGAGGGUAAACUAUUUCUUUUGUUCUUAAGAUUCCUUAUCAUUGUGUCUAUAUUGUUGAUUUUAAUGCCAAGUUGAUGAGCUUAACUGGGUUAGCUUUGGAUACUAAAAAUUUCAUUAAAUCAAAGCAUGUGCGGGUUAGUAUUUGGUUUAUAUUGUAGUAAUAUUAUAUCUUUGGUAAAAAGAAAAAAAGAAAAAAAAUCUUCCAACGCAAACAUAAUGAAGAUCAGUUGCUUAUGAAAAAUGAGUUUUUUCAAGCAUGUUUUGGUGUCCCAAGAAAACAGCAAUUGAAUGACUGAAUGGCGUCCAGGAAGGAAUAUCAGAAUCUUGAUCAGCUUCUGAUAUGGAGGAUGCCUAGCGUAUCAAUGACGACUAGCUGCAGUUUUUGUAGAUUAGGAUGAUGGAGGGCCCUUAUGGUUCAUAUUCAUAAUUGGAAAUUUGUGGUUGUUAAUUGAAUGAUAGGAUGUGGUCCUGUGACAGCUCAACAAACUUGCUUUUGAAACAAGCUUCUUUCUGUAUCUUUUAUUAUUAUUAUUAUUUUUUUCACUUCAAUGAUAUGAUGAAUAACUCGAUGAUAUGAACAACAUUGCUUCUGCACUUGCAAUCAUGAUUUCAAACUGUAAAUUGCCGUUGGGUAAAGAAUUUAGCUGCCAAUUUGAUAUCUAAGAAGGUUCCAUCCAUAUUUUAAGUGUGACUAAACAGAGAAGGUAAUUUGUGGCAUUGAACUUUGCUUGCAUGCAUGGUUUGUUAAAUUAUAUUUCACCAUUUAAUGACAAUGAACACUACAUUUUCUCAUUUAUGAUUUGGAUGGCAUAUAAAUCCCAUGAAUGAAUUCUGGAUGGGACCUUUUGGAUUUUGUUUCUUACACAUGCAAGGGAGGAAGAUAUGAAAGAGAAGGCCAACUGUCAAUAGAAAUUGGGAGUCAGUCCUCGCAGUAAUCAUAAAUGCUUAAACUAGGUGGAAGUACUAUCAUUAUCUGUUCUUAAAUUUCCAUUUGUCGAUCAGGGGAUGUUACUUUCAAGAAGGGAAAAAAGUCAACAUGGAAAUGAGAGUAGAACAAGCAUAUAAAAGGUACAUAAUGAGGUGAAUUCAAGCAAGACCAAGGUCUUCUUCCGCACAUUUGCACCUGUACAUUUCAGGUUUGUUUUAAUUUUAUAGCUGUUUUACUGCUAACAUCCAUGGCAUAGUGCUCGUUUAGACCUCUGCACAUCUAUAUUACAUUCUCUGGACACCUUUUUUAGUAUUUUGGUCUCCUGGAAAGAGUUGGCAUAGGUAGAGAGACCUGGGAGAAAGUCCAGUGAGAAAUUUUAGGUUCUACCUUUUUUAAACAAGCUUGGAUGUCACUGAAAAAUUUGCUGUGUUUUUCAAACUAAAUCUAGAAAUGUAAGUUUUCCUGUCAAAAUCAGUGGAUUAAUUCUUAUGCUGCAUUCCUUAUGCAUUCAAGGCCUUGUUUAAACCAUUAAAUAUUUAAGGUAAAAGUUGAUCCUAAAGUUUACGACACAGUUUUUAGUUUCUUGAUCAAACUAUGAGACUGUUAUUUGGUCUCUCUUCUAAUAUGCACAUUCAUAUGUAGUUCAAAAUGCCUGCAUUAAUGCCACUUGUUUUGUAUCUAAAUAAACUUGAAUUACUCCUCAAGACUUGCCAAGGAAGAAUAAAAAAUUGUGUUUGACUUUUUUGAGUAGAUUUUAUAGGCAAUUGUGGAUUUUAUGGGAGUGGCUAAACUUUCUACAACUUCUCAGAGGAGGAGAUUGGACAAAUGGGGGAAGCUGCCACUUGGAGACACUGCCAGAGAUGGGUACAUCGCUAGUGCCAUCUGAAACUUGGGAACAAUUCAAAAUAGUCAGUGAUAUGUCAUCAGCUUACUCGAAUGCAUCAGAGGGUAUAAAAUUUGACAUACUAAAUGUUACUCGUAUGACGGCACAAAGGAAAGAUGGCCAUUCAUCUCUUUACUAUUUGGGUCCCAAGGAAAGUCCUGCUCCAAUUCAUCUGCAGGACUGCAGUCACUGGUGUCUACCAGGAGUGCCUGAUGCAUGGAAUGAGCUACUCUACGCAGUGAUCCUCAAGCAUUAUAUGAAUCAUACGUUCGUUCGACUCAUCAACAUAUGAAGCACAGGUUUGAUUGAGGAUGAAGCCUCUAAUAAUACACCUACUACGAAACAUAGGAAUUCCAUGAACAGAAAUGAAUCAGACUUCGCCACAAACAAAAAUGGGAGGUAGUUUAGAUUGAAUUUUUGCCAUAGUUCUAGGGUAAGGAUCAAAAGUGGCUCUAUGAUUUUGGCAGUGUUAGAUUAUGAAAAGAAAACAAGUUUCUUUUGGCUAGAUAGUUGAUAUUGAUUCAAGCAGCCCCAAUUUUAAGAGCAAUGAGUGGGCACGGAUUCAACCUAUGGGAAUAAAGCUGUAGAACAAUUUUACACAUUGGGUAUUCUGUUGUGAUCACGUAUUCCUUGGGAAAAAAAGAUGUAAUUAUUAUUAAAAAAAAAAAAAGAUAGCUGGUAAGCAUUAAUGCAGGUGACUUUGUGAUAUUAUUCCGGUGGCAUGAAUAUGAAAGUCUGAUGGCCGCAUGAGCCUUUUGCCAUCAUUGAAGAAAAAAAAUUCUGUUUCUCUUUGCAAGGUGAAAAUGUGAUGUUAGAGCGUUAGGUGGCAUGGGAUGGCAACGUAAUUCUGUUUAGAAGGACUAAUAGAUCUUACAUAGAAACAGGUACUGUCGAUUUGCAUUUGUUUGACAAAAUUUCAGUUGUGCGUCUAUGAUUUUUUGAUCUUGGAAUGUAUGAAUUUUUUUUUUAUCUCAUAAAUCUCACUCAUUCGGAUCCAAAAUUUUCAGAGUUAAGGAACUUUGGAGUCUCAGGUGUCCCACUGGGAUGACUGAACUCAUAAUCGGUCGACCCAUUGAUCCAUUUUAUCCUAAGAUGACUUUUUUUAAGUUAUCCGGUCUGGUUAUUUUCAUAUUGUUGCUGCUAGGAUUGCCGCAAGUCAUGAAGAUUACUACGUGCAUUUUUUUUUUUGGCCAAAUUACUACUUACUGCCGUCUUGAUUGCCAUUUUUUACCUAUUUCUCCGACACUAAUUUGUAAUUAUAUCCUCUUUGAAAAAAAAGGUCAAAGAUAAGCACUAAAAUAGAACAUGAACAAUGGGGAAUAGGAUCCACAACAGGUCCAAGCCCAUUUCUCUCUCUAAAACAAUUUAUAUCUUCGCUUCAAGCAUACAAAAAAUUUACAGAAAAAAUGAUAAUCAAUUGAUUCAAGUUCUUUUUUCCGCGUCGGGGUGACUGAAGAGUGAAGGCGAUGGAGGGAGGCCUGAAAUCCAAAAGCCAUCAGAGCCAAGUGUAGAAUCCAAGCUUCCUUCUCUAAAAUUGAUUCAAAUUCUUUUUUUUUUUUUUUCUCUUUCGAGUUCCCAAUUUAUAAAUCCAAAACCUCUCCUUCCCGAGGAACCUAAAUCUUCCUAAAAUAUGGCGGACGCAGCUCCACCAAGCAAAUCAAGAGACCUGGACAAGCUCCUUCUCCGGCCAGGAAACCUCGUUGGUCCAACCUUCGACCCGGGCGUUCAAGUAUAAUUCUCUCUCUCUCUGUCUCUUUGCCAUUUCUUAGGAACGAUUUGUUUGCAAAUCUUUAAAUUUUUGUUUUUGGUUUAAAGUUUUGAUUUGUGAGGGUUUUGGGUAUUUGCAGUUAAGGGAUGAUUUACAGGAAUAUGUGAAAGUUUUGGUGGUAGGAGCUGGAGGAUUGGGAUGUGAGCUACUUAAGGAUUUGGCCCUCUCUGGUUUUAAAAAUCUUGAGGUCAUUGACAUGGACCGGAUUGAAGUUUCCAAUCUCAACCGUCAAUUCCUCUUCAGGUUUUUCUUUUAAUAUUUGUUACUUUCUUUUUUAGAAAAAUUUUUUGGGGUUUAAUUCUUGAUUGAAUUUGCUGCCACGGUGAAUUAUUUUGUUGUGAUCAAAUUGAUUGCUGAAUUAGAACCAGAAAAUAUUUAGCACUUAUUGUUAUAAUUUGAUGCUGGUUAAAUUCUAAAGAUAACAAAACAAGAAAAAAUAUAGUAGAAGAAGGGGGAAGAAGAAGAAUAAGAGAUGAAUGAUAGAGAGAGGGGACGUUAAUUCAGUUCUCCAGAAUGACAGUAUCCCUUUCCUCAUUCUGCUUUUGAGCUGUUAACUAGGCAGCUGCUAUGCUCCUGGAAUCACGGAUGGCACGUUGCAUUCUCUUUCCUCCUAACGGUAUUGACAGCUAUGCAAAAUCAAUGGGCCAAGAUCAGCUUAGGCCUUACAAAAAAAUAAAGUCCAAAUUAUAAAAAAAAAAGUCCAAUGGUAAUAAAAGGUAACCCAAAUCCAUAUUCAAUUGUUUUUGGCCUGCAACAGUGCUCCCUCCAGGAUCAAAUGCAGGAUACUUCUUUUGCAAUUCAAAUAGCAUCUCCCAAGUAGCAUCUUCCAAGUAGCAUCUUUUUAGAAAAGAAUUGGUCCAUUCAACCGAUACUUUAGUAACGGCUCUGUUUCCCCUCUUAACCAUUCUUCUAGCCAAGAUCUUAGUUGGCUUCUUCACUAUUGAUCCAUCAUCAUCCACAGCAGGUAAACUGGAUUGCGCCAUUGAGCUGCCAACAUGUUUCUUUAACCGUGAAACAUGAAAUGUGUGGUGGAUUUUGGAAUUACCAGGCAAUUAUAGGCUAUAUGCAACAUGACUGAUCUUUUCCAAGACUCUAUAGGGUCCAAAAUAUUUGGCAGCAAGUUUGUUACAGCUUUUGUUCUUCACUAUUUGUUACUAUAAGGCUGCAACUUGACAUAUACUAGAUCUCCCACCCUGAACUCCUUAUCACUCCUCUUUUGUCAGCCAUGUUCGUCAUCCUUGUUUGAGUUGUGGACUAGAACUUCAUCAUUUUUAUUGCAAACUCUCUGGCUUGUAAGCUCCUAUCUACUGUCUUACAAUUGAAUCUCCCGCUAUGUAUGGCAAAUGUAGUGGAGGAGGUUGCCCAUACACCACCUCAUAAGGAGUGGAGUUGAUAGCUGAAUGGUGGCUGGUAUUAUACCACCUUCUGCAAAAUACAGCCAUCUUGUCCAUUUCCUAGGAGUUCCACUCACCAUGCAUCUCAAGUACGUUUCCAAGCAUCGAUUUACAAUCUCUAUCUGUCCAUCAGACUGGGGAUGAUAAGCAGAAGAUUUGUUGAGAGAAGUCCCAUGUCUCUUGAAGAGCUCUUGUUAGAAUUUACUCAUGAAGAUUUUAUCCCUAUCAGAAACAAUAGAGCUAGGCAUAUCAUGUAGCUUGUAGAUGUGAUUCAUAAACAAUUGUGCAACUAUCAGAGCAGUAAAAGGAUGGAAAAUAGCCACUAAAGUGAGCAUAUUUGCUCAAUCUGUCUACCACCACGAAUAUGGUAUGCUUACCAUGUGACUUGGGUAAUCCCUCUAUGAAAUCCUUAGAGAUGUUGUGCCAAAUCCUCUCAGGUAUAGGCAGUGGUUGUAGAAGACUUGGAGAGGCUGAAUUAUCACACUUGCACUGCCGACACACAUUGCAUUCCUGAACCAUUCUUCUCUUAUCCUUCUUGAGUCCUUUCCAAUACAGAACACUAGCAAUCCUUUUCAUAGUGACAUAUACUUCAGAGUGACCACUGGUCGGGCUAUUGUGAUAAUAUUGCAAAAGUUCUUGUCUCAGUGCUGGUACCAUCCCAACUACCAGUUUACCUUUUCACCUUAGUUGACCUCUAUGCCAUGUGUAUUUAGAAUUGGGAUUUGUAUUGCAUUGCAGCUCCUUGAUCAACUGUUGCAACCUUGGAUCCUGAUUCCAAGAAGCUUGAAUUCUUCCCAACAAAUCAGUACCUAUAGUAGUUAUGGCCAUCACCUGUGCUGAUUUACUCUCGGAUUUCCUGGACAAGGCAUCAGCUAUUGUGUUGAAUGCCCCCUUCCUGUAGACAACCUCGUAAUCAUAAACCAUCAUCGUUGCAAUCCAAAGCUGCUGUGCAGGAGUGGCUUCCUGUUUGGUAAGGAGGAAUUUAAACUUUGAUGAUCUGUCUUUAUGAUGAAAUGUCUCCUUCAUAGAUAGGCAUUCCAUUUUUUUUUUUUUUACUGCCAUAAGAACAACCAUCAUCUCCUUCUCAUAUGUAGAUAGAAUUUGAUGUCUAGGUGACAAAGCCUUGCUAAAAUAUGCUAUAGGUCUUCCUUCUUGAGUCAAUAGAGCCCCUACACCCGACCCUGAAGCAUCGAUCUCCACCAUGAACACUUUGUUAAAAUUGGGCAGAGCUAAUACUAGGGUAGUAGUCAUGGCAACCUGUAACUUCUUGAAAGAUUCCCCCGCUUGCUUAUUCCAUUUGAAGGCAUCUUUCUUGAGUAAAUAUGCAAGCAGCUAGGCUAACACCCCGUAUCCAUUAAUUAACCUUAUGUAAUAACCAAUGAGGCCAAGAAACCCUCUUAGCUCUUUUACAUUGUGAGGCUAAGGCCAUUCCAACACACGCAAAACUUUCUACUUAUCCAUCUCAACUCUUUUAGCAGAAAUCACAUGUCCAAGUUACUCUACCUCUAUGGCAGCAAAAAACACAUUUGCUUUUCUUAAGAAACAACUUGUUAGCUUUGAGAAUCUCAAAGACCUGCCUCAUGUGAGCUACAUGACUACACAUAUGAGUAGAAUAAAUAAGAAUAUCAUCAAAGAAUACUAAUACAAAUCUCCUCAAGUAUGCUUUAAAAAGAGAAUUCGUUAGACUUUGAAAAGUUGAAGGUGAAUUAGUAAGCCCAUAGGGCAUAACUAAGAAUUCAUAGUGCCGGUCAUGUGUUCUAAAACCUGUUUUAUAAAUGUUUGCCUCAUGCAUUCUAAUUUGAUGAUAUCUUGAUCUCAAAUCUAGUUUUGAGAAAAUAUUUGCACCAUUUAACUCAUCCAAUAACUCUUCUACUAAGGGCAUAGGAAACUUAUCUUUAAUAGUGAGUUGGUUCAACUGUCUGUAGUCAAUACAUAGCCUCCAGGGUCCAGCUUUUUUCUUGACCAUGACAAUUGGAGAAGCAAAUAAGCUGCAAUUGUGCCUGAUAAUGCCAAAGUUUAAUAUCUCCUUAAUCAACUUCUCAAUCUCAUCUUUUUAUAUUGCAGGAUAUCUAUAGGGCUUAAUCUUGACUGUUUGAGUCUUGUCCUUAAGAGGAAUUCUGUGAUUAUGGGACCUAUGGGGAGGUACUGAGUUGCUUUAAACAGUUUAGCAUACUCCUGUAUUAGCUGCUCAAAGUUGCUGUUUCCUGGGAAUUGAACUGUUGUUGUGGCGAUGGCAUUUAAUUGAACUUGGUUGCUGGCGGUGAGUAACAAUGAGCAUGGAUGAAGUUUCUGACCAACAGACAAGGCUUGCAACAGUUUAAUUUCUUGUUUCUUAUUGGCCAUAUCCAGGAUACCAGGUUGUAUUCCCUAAAGUGGCCUCCAAUUCCCUUGAUAUUGAAACUGCAUGUUUAAGACAGAGAAAUCCCACAAUAUGGUUUCCAAGGUUUUCACCAUUGUACCCCCAAGACUACGUCGCACCCCUUCAGUGUCAAAACCAUAAAAUCAGCUAUAAAUGCAGACUCCAAGACUGACCAUUGCAAUUGUUGACUAAAUCCUGCAGUUCUUACCCUUUCGCCAUUAGCUACUGUUACACCAACUUAUGGUUCUGUCCAAUAUGUAGUCCCAAAGCCUUGGCCACAGAGAGGUCAAUGAAGUUGUGGGUACUUCCAGAGUCCACCAGCAUAACCAGUUUAUGGUUUUUAUUACACCAUGAGUUCUCAUGGUUUGAAACCCAGAAGUGCCUGGUAUAGCAUGUAAAGAGAGUACAGGUUCCUCACUUCCAUCAUUCUCAGUUAUCGGUACUUCUGGAUUAUCAACACAAUCUGAGAAUUCUUCUGUCUCAUUUUCCUCUUCACUCCCUUCAAUGAGUAAUUGAUACAAUUGAGACUUCAUGCAUUUGUGGCCAACUGAAUACUUGGCUCCACAUCAAUAACAAAGCCCCUUUUUCGUCCUCUCUUCCAUCUCAGCUGGUGUAGGGCGUUUGGAUUGUUUGAGCUACUGCUAUUGAAGUUGGGUCUAUUAGGUUGGUGAGUAAAAGUUUUAUUAUUGAGAUCCAAAAGGUUGGGAUUAGGGGUGCUUUUGGGGUAGGCAAUAAGGAUGGAAGGUUACUGUUUUUGGUAGUGUACCUGCUGGUGCUAUGGAAAGACAAGUGAUAAGAGGGUUUUGUAGGUAAGGUAUGUUUCUUAUAAAUUUGGUAGAUGAUAGAUUCAAUUUGUUUGGCCAAAUGAAAAGCCUAAUUCAAGGUUGUAGGUCUGAAAAGUCUAAUAGAUUGUGAUAUCUUUGGUUUAAGAUUACUAAUGCUUAGGGCAUAAGCAUCAAGUAAUUGUAAGAGAUUAAGAAUGCCUAUAAAAUCUUUGUGAAACUGUUCAAUAGAAGAAGUUUGCUUAAGCUCCACUAGCUCUGCCAUGGAGUCUUCAUACUCCUUAGAGGCGAAUCUGUCCUUCAUCUCCUUAAUGUACACCCCGCGGCCCCCCCCCCCCCCCCGUGCAGUGCUUAAAUUCUGAAAUCCUCCUUAGACUUAGUAGAGUACUGGUGCCACUGCAAGGCUUUCCCUUCUAGGCCCAACAGUACUACUCUAACCUUGGAGUGUUCAAGGACCCUUUCAUAAUCAAAAUACUGUUCUAGCUUCAUGUACCAACCCUUAAAGUUAUCUCCAUUAAACUUAGGACAGUCUAGUUUAAGCAGCUUGUAGGAUUCAGAGAUCAAAUGCUUGUUCUGGAUUGCAAAAGUCAUAGUAUUGUUCAGGGUUAUGUCUCCAGAAGAAAGCUUGGGUUCUUCACUACUAGAAUCUGAUUCCUUCCCCAACCUCCGCUUUUACCGAUCGAAGUUUGGUGCCCUUCCCAUUGAUCAGGCGCGGAAUUCCCAUCCUUUGGAGCUAUAUCGAACAAGUUUUAAAACUCAUCCAACAACCGAGCUCUCAUUCCUUCAAUCUUCUGCUCCAAAUCCACAAAUCUUUGUUCCAUCUGUGCAUCCCUUUGUUGAUGAUCAUUCUGUAAUCUGGAAAUCUCUUGUGCAUUUUUGUUGUAUCUUCCUGGUAGUGAUUCCAUCUACUGUUGGUGUCAGGUAUUGGGCUUUGAUACCAAAUGAUGCUGGUUAAAUUCUAAAGAUAACAGAAUAAGAAAAAAUAUAGUAGAAAAGGGGGAAGAAGAAGAAGAAUAAGAGAUGAACAAUUGAGGGAUGGGACGUUAAUUCAAUUCUCCAGAAUGACAGUAUCCCUUUCCUCAUUCUGUUUUUGAGCUAGUAACCAGGCAGCUGCUAUUCCUCUGGAAUCUUGGAUGACACAUUACAUUCUCUUUCCUCCUCCUAAUGGUAUCGACAGCUAUGCAUACUAGAUGGGCCAAGCUCAGCUUAGGCCUUACAGAAAAAUAAAGUCCAAAUUAUAAAAAAAAAAAAGUCCAACGGUAUUAAAAAGUAACCCAAAUCAUAUUCAAUUGUUUUGGGUCUGCAACAUAAUUUUAGUUCUUUUUUCUAAAUAUUCAAUCUCGCAUGGAAGUCUUAGGUCCAAAUCCUAUUCCUAGUACAAGAUUGGGUUUCUUACUUUUGUGUAGCAAACUAGCAAUAGACUGUUGAACUUUCACUUGUAUUAAAUAAAAAACCAAGCACGGAAAGAUGCAUGGAUGUCUCAUAAAAAGAUUGGCGAUGCAUUUGGUUAUGAAUUUUUUUUUCACACUAGCUAAUUUUACCAUCAUUAUAUUUGCUUUACUAUCUCUUUCAUUUGAUUAUUGUCACUGCAGCUUGAAUAUCUACUAUGCAUCUUUUGUUUAAUUUAUAUUUGAGACUGGAAAGUUUAAAGCUGAUGUAAUUUGGGGUGUUAAUACUUGUAGGCUGGAAGAUGUUGGUAAACCAAAGGCUGAGGUUGCAGCAAAGCGUGUGAUGGAAAGAGUUAGUGGUGUGAAUAUUGUGCCUCAUUUUUGCCGAAUUGAGGACAAAGACAUUGAAUUUUAUAGUGACUUCAAUAUUAUUGCCCUUGGUCUUGAUUCCAUUGAGGCUCGGAGCUACAUUAAUGCUGUGGCUUGUAGUUUCCUUGGUGUGUUUUUUAACCUAUUAAUAGUUGAUUGCAUCUAUUUGAAAAUUGCUUUAAAUAUCUAUUAUAUUAGUUCUAGGACAUUUUAAAAUUCAAAAUUUUUAUUUGGAAAUUCUUGGAAUUUAUCUUAAUGUGAGGGCUAGCAAAUAUACUCUAAUGCUCUAGCCUCUAGGUUCAUCAUCAUGACAAAAUGAUAAUAGAUUAGACACAGCCUUAUGGCAUAUGCUUCGUAUGCUUGUAUGAGCUAUGAAAAGCACGAGAGCUCAGAGCUGUUGCAUGUUUCUCUACAUGUUUGAGUCGCUUGGGACAUGUUUAAUCCCUUAAUACCUGGCAUUGAAGGAGUUAGUUUCAUAAUUUGAAGUUCAACAGAUAAUUAGAAGCAGGAGUCUGGUAAUGAUACCAUUUUACUUGCUUUUCUUUCUUGUAGCAUGAAUUCUGAGUUAGGUAUUUGAUCUUUUAUCAUCUGCGUUUAUUCUCCUUUAAUGUACCGAACAUUUUUUUGUAAAGUGACUUGCUAGAUUAAAUUAGGCUAAUAUUGUAACUAACUUUUUUCCUGUUUUUGAAGAGUAUGAUUUUGACGAUAAUCCACGAGAAGAAACAAUGAAGCCUAUGGUAGAUGGUGGGACUGAAGGUUUCAAGGGCCAUGCUAGGGUGAUUGUGCCAGGGGUCACACCAUGCUUUGAGUGUACAAUCUGGCUUUUUCCUCCUCAAGUGAAGUUUCCUUUAUGUACUUUAGCAGAAACCCCCAGAAAUGCAGCUCAUUGUAUUGAAUAUGCUCACUUAAUUAAAUGGGAUGAGGUAAUAUUAUAAUUAAUGUCUUAUUUGUCAUUUUCUGAAUCUGUUGAUUCUGAAUUUUCAUGACAGUUUUCUUCUCCCUACCUUAUAGGUUCACAGGGGGAAGGCUUUUGAUCCAGAUAACGGAGAUCACAUGAAGUGGGUCUAUGAUGAGGUUAAACAUAUGAAUCUUUUUAGCAUUGAUUGCCUUUAAGCUGGUUUUGCUUUUUGUGAUUCUUUCACUAAUGACAUCCAAAUAUCACAGGCUGUCAAGAGAGCUGAACUUUUCGGCAUUCCAGGAGUUACUUAUUCUCUUACACAGGUAUUCUGGGAAGCUAAAGUUUGUGAUUUAUAUUCUCUUGAUCACUGUAUUGCUACUUCUGGUGUUCUUUAUGAUUCCUGAAGAAAAUAGCUUAUAUUUUAAGUUGUCCAAUGUAUCAAUUUGGUUUUUUAACAAUUUACUUUUUCUUAACUAUUCAAGAUUUCAUACGUGUCCAAUGUAUCAAUAAGCAAAAUAGCAUUAUGAUGCUAGAUUUAAAGAACUAAUUUUCAUUUGUGAAAGUAUAAAUGGUCACAUUUUUUAGUGUCUUCUCCUCUUUGAUUAUAGAUAAAAUAAUAUAAUAUCUCAAUGUUACUUACAGGGUGUUGUAAAAAACAUUAUACCAGCUAUUGCUUCCACCAAUGCAAUUGUUUCUGCUGCAUGUGCUUUGGAAACCUUGAAGAUUGCAUCAGGAUGCAGUAAAACUCUAUCAAACUAUCUUACGUAUGUCCAACCCUCUCUCUACCUCUCCUUGGGGCAUUCUAUUAUUGAAACUUACAAUGAUUUUGGUGGCUAUAUUUGAAUGGCUUUGACAUUUAUUCUUGUUUGAGUAUGGUACUUUCACUACUGAUUUUCCAUUUAUUAUAUGUACGUAGAUUAUAACCACUAUGAUAGUAGCAAUUAUCUCUGAAUCUCGGCAAAAGAUAGCAAGAGGGAGGGAGAAUAGGCUCUCUGAAACCAUGCAAAAUAGUUGAUUCUCCUAUUGUGAUGACUUGAUUGUCAACAGGAUAUCGUAGAAAUGAAUACAUUCAGCAAACUUGAUAUACAUGUACAUGGAUGAAUAAUUUCUUGUUUUAAUCUCCUCUCUGCCUUUAGAACAGUGAUAUUUAUUUAUUUGUUUAUUAUAUUUUAAAUUUUCAUGUUGGUUAUCUAUUAUACUUCAAAAUCCAUUGUCAAACUUGCAUACUUCUUUUAUAGGUAUAAUGGUGUUGAAGGUCUUCACUCCAAAGUGACUCAAUUUGUCAAGGACAAGGACUGUCUUGUCUGUGGUCCAGGUGUUCUCAUUGAGCUGGAUACUACUGUUACUCUUCAAAAGGUUAACUUUCUGAAUCUUAUGGAGCUGAGUUUGUAGGUUGGCUUGGGUCAUUAUUAGUACGUUGUUUUAUUUAUGCUUUUCCCUUUAUUGGAUUUAUAUUGAAGCAGUUCAUCAAUAUGCUAGAGGAGCAUCCUAAGCUGCUCAUAUCGAAGGCCUCAAUCACAUAUCACGGAAAGAAUCUAUACAUGCAGGCACCUCCUGUUCUGGAAGAAAUGACCAGAUCAAAUCUAAAUCUGCCGCUAUAUGACCUCAUGGAUAAAAUCCCAAAAGACAUUCUCCAUGCGACUGGUACAAUCAACAAGGACAACAAAAAGUCUUCUGGUUUAAAAAAAUUACGUGUUGUUUUCAAGGGAAUUGAUGGGGUUACAGAUAUGGAUUUGGCUGGUGGUGCAUGAUCGUAAAAAUAUAAAUUAUAUUUAUUCUUGUAAAAAAUUUCAAGCCCUUUUUGCAGUAUUUGUUGAAGAAAAUGUGUUUUAGGUCCAAGUUAUUGAUACAUUAUGAACUUCCACGAUGCCAAUUGUUUUCUAUGGUAUAUUGCCAGUCAUCAUCUUAUUUGCCUCUUUUUUUUUUUUUCUUUUUUUUUUUUAAAAUUAAACACAAUGAGUAAUUUGCUAUGGUUGGAAAUGAGAAAUUUAAUUCGCAGUAGAUUUUAAGGUUUUGCUUUGCACCGUGGAUAGGAAAAUAGUAAGUUAGAAAAAUAAAAAAAAUUAAAAAUUGAAAAAGGGGAAAUAUAGAAAGAUAUGUUAAUAGUUGUUAGUUAAAUAUUAGACUUACGGUAGAAUGCUAGGUUUUAGAUUUUUAAUUCUAUUUCAUGGUUUUAAAUUCUGGAAGUCUUUAGUAUAGAAAAAAUAAUGAAUAGAAAUGUUGAAAAGAAUUAAUUUUUUUUAUUUAUGAUUUUAUAAAAUAAAAAAAUGAAAAAAUUAUUUUAUUUUAUUAUUAUAUCUUUUGUUUAUUAAUAUUAAAAAAAAUUUAAAACUUGAUGGAUAAUGUUGCAAGUAUAAAGCAUCUAGAUUUUUUUUUUUUUUUUUUAAUUUUAGACACUUAAGUUUGUUUAGGUAUGUUUUGGUCAAAUAUGAUGCAUUGAAAGUUAAGACUCGGGUCUUUUUCAAGAUUUUUUAUUUCAUGACUUUUGAAUAAAUCGAUUCUUAGGUUAAUACAAAAGAAAAACAAUAAUUAAGAAAAAAGUCAAAAGUCAAUUUAAAAGAUAAUUUAGUCAAACUAGACAAAUUUAGUCAAAUUUAGGUCAAUUAUUGGAUUUUUUGAUUGAUAAAAACUGUUGAGGCUCAUUAGUAAUAAAUGAGGAAUUUUAUUUACAUUCCUAUGUUUAUUUUAUACACCCCACUAUUAAAUAUAAUCUAUAUUCAAACUAAAAUUUCUUAUUUUUACUAAAUAUAUCUCAUAACUCACAUUUUUAUUUUCCCUUCUUACUUUUUCAAUUUCAUUCUCUAUUAUUUUUUUCUCUUCAAAACCCUAAAUCAAUCAAACUAAUCCCAAAUCAACUUUGUUCUUGAGUUUUUUUACUUAUUAAAGGCAACAUUUCUAGCUUUCUUUUAGAUUAAUUUGGUUGAAAUGUGGUUGAAAUUCAUGUAGAAAUAAAGGUUUAGGGUUUAUGGUAGAAUGAGGUUGAAUUCGAGCUUCUUGGAAAUGUGUUUUUGAAAAAACUUGAGGUUUCUCAAAAAUCAAUUGCUAAGAAACCUAUUGUUUUCUUGGAAAUUGAUUUUCGAGAGACCUUAAGUUAUCUCGGAAAUGGGUGUUUGAGAAGAAUGAUGCUUUUCUCAAAAAUUCAUUUCCCAAAGGGUUGUAGUAUUCUUGGAUACCCAUUCUGAGAAGGUAGGUUCUAAUAUUCUCAGAAACCUAUUUUUGAAAAGAUUUUAGGCCUUACAGCAUUGGAUUUUCAAGCAGUUGAGGCUUCUCAUAAACCAAUUCUUGAUAAGACUUUAGGUUUCUCAGUAGUUGAUUUUUGAGAAGCUUAAAGAUCUAUUUUUUAUUCUAUAAAUUUGAUUCAAUUUUGCCAUGAAUUAAUAUAUUUUGCAAAUUUGUCUUUGAGUUGACAUUUUUAAUGAUUUAUGUUUUGUUACAGAUAUGGCUAGUACUAGAGAAAGAGGUACUGGAGUUGAUGUCGGUCCUAGUCAGAGGCAUUCGAGUGCCUUUGAGAGGUGAUGGAGAAUUGUAGGGGAUGGUGAGCCUGAGAAUCAUAUGUUUAAUGAGAUUCCUUAGGCUGAGCCUUCAACUUGCACCAUUGAUGAGCAUCAAGUGGAGUCAUUCCCAGAGGGUUCUCAUGAUACCUCAAUUAUCUUGAGUUUCGCUUCUUAUGUUGCAUUCCAAAUUUAGAAUGGCCAAGUAACCACUCAAAUUAUAUUAUUGUUGAUGAUUUGUAUAUGAUAUUAAAAUUAGGAAUGUUGUAUUAAAAUUUUAUUGUUGUUGUUGUUGUUGUUGUUGUUAUUGUUACAGGAGCGAGGUUUGUUGAAGUCGAUUAACCAUAGGUCGAAGUUAUAGCAAUGGCAUCUAGAUGAUGUACAGAGAAAGAUCUGAGCCCAUAUGGUGUAGUCAGGGUUGUCUUCACUCAUUGACUGCACUUAUCAUAGCAUCAACGCAACAUUAGUAUCCACUUUUGUCAAUAGGUGGUAGCUGGAGACAAACACAUUUUAUAUGCUGUUUGGUGAGAUGACUAUCAUGCUGGAUGAUGUGUUCAUCUUUUUCCACAUAUUGAUAAGGAUGACCUCGGUUAGAAUGCUUCAUUUGUUGACGAUGCACGAGGCAAACAUAUUAUUGUCGAGGUUUUCGGAGUUUCUUAUGAUGAUGCUAGAUGGGAGACUAAAUCAAGUAAAAGAUCUACUAUUUGACUAUCUUGGCUGUGUGAGACCUUUAGGCAUGUCACUGAUGCAUCGGAUGAUGAGGCAAUUGCAUGUGCAUCCCAUGCUUUUUUAUUUGGUAGGGAAUAUGUUAUUUUGUGAUGAGAUCGCCAUAAGAGUCUCAUUAACGUACUUACCCUUACUCGAGGACCUCGUUGCUAGGGAUGGCAUCGGGGUGGGGCGGGUUGUUUUAUUUUCCCCGCCUUCGACCCGAUGCUUUAAUGCUUUUAUCCGAUACCCGACCUACCCCCGCUCGGAGGUUGUAGCUGAAAAACCCGACUCCGACCCGCUUGAAUAUUAUUUACCCGAAUUUUACCCGACCCGACCCGACCCUAAUUUAAUCUACUACCUAUUCAAAUUUAUUGCAAAUGUAAUAAAUCAUAAUCUAAAUAUAUUACAAACAUGAACAAAUUUAACAUAAUCACUCACAAAUUCAAAUUUAGUACAUACAUUUUUUUUUAUUUAAUAAAAAUCUCAUAAAUUCUUACCAUAAGUAAUAGAAUUAUAAAAUACAUAAAACAUAGUAAAUCAAAACUCACAAAUUCUCACAAUAGAUGAUGGAAUUAUGAAAUAUAUAAAACUUAGUAAACUAAAAUUCAAAUAUGAAACAAGCAUAAGUUAAUAACUAAAAUUUAAAUAUAGUACAUAAUACAAGAUAAACAUUAAAAGCUUAAACUACCACAAUAAAAAGUUAAAUUGUUUGAACAUUCUUUCAUCCAAUAUGGUGAAAAUCUUCCAAGACCACAACAAAUCAUUUCAUCAUCACUAAGCUUCAUAUCAUCAUUCUCCUCUAACCACACUAGUCCUAUAAAAUAAAACAAUAAGAUGAAUAAAUAAAUAUUAUAAAAUAAUAUAUUUAAAAAUAAUAAUAUAAAAAAUGAAUUAGUUAUAAAAGAUAAUAUUAUUUACCAAAUUAGUUAUCUUUUCCUCAAUCUCACUAUCAUCAACAUCCUUGUAAAAAGAAUUUUCAUCUAAUGAAAUUGACCCUACAAAUGAAAUAAUAAAAUAUUAGCAAAUAAUAUAUAACAACAAAAUAUAGUAACUAACAAUAUGCUAAAAUAAAAAAUAAAAUUACAUAAUAUGAAUUAUUGUACCUUCUUCUUUAGCCUAUAACCAAUUUUGACAAAAUGUUAAAGCUUUUAUAGUUGAUGGAUGAAGUCUAUUACGUUGUGCACUCACCAACCUCCCUCCAAUACUAAAAGUAGACUCUGAAGCAACAGUAGAAACUGGUAUGGCAUAUAUAUCUCUAACAAUAAGUUGUAAGGUCGAAAAUUGAGGUCCAGUUAGUUUCCACCAAUUCAAUAUAUCAAAAUCUCUUUUUCUUGGUAUGACUUCUUCAUCCAAGUAACGAUCAAACUCUGAUUUUACUUUUGAAUUUUUCUUUUUUUUCUUUGAAACAAAAUCAUCUUAGUCUCCCAAAUUUUCCAAUUUAGUAACACCAACACCAUCUAAGAAUGAAAAGCUUGAACUAGAAGGUCCUUCUUCCUUUUUCAAAGCCAAUUUCUCCUCAUACUCCUUAAGCAAAUCCUUUCAAUUUCAAAUUCAACAUUUUCUCCAUAAAUCUUUUCAAAGUAAUACUCCAACAACUCUGUUUUAUACCUUGGAUCUAAAAUUGUAGCAACACCCAUUAUGCCAUGCACAUCAUUCUAAUAUUUUUCAAAUUUGCCUAACAUGCUCACAGCCAUACAUGAAAUAAUUCUAUCGGUAUGCAUAAUCCAUUCAUUCAAUGCCAAUCUGAUUUUGCAAAUAUUAGGAAAAUAAAAAAUUGCAGUAGCAUAUUUUGUGCCAGAAAACCCUUUAGUGAUAUCAUAAAACAAUUUCAACUUCUCACAAAUCUCGGUUGCAAUGAUCCAAUCAUUUUCAGUUGGUAAAUAUUUGUACAAAGGAUCACCAUGUAAUUGCACACAAUGAGGAAAAACAUCUUUAUAAAACAAAGUUGUUCGAAACAUCAAAUAAGUAGAGUUUCAUCGUGUUUUGACAUCAACACACAACUUUUUUAAAGUUGGAAUACGCAAUUGACGCGCUGCCUCUUCAAAAUUUUCGCACCUCUUUGGUGUAGCACCCCAAAAAGAACACUAUCAUGAAUUCUUUCAAUUCCAUCUCCAAUCACACUCAAUCCAUCUUUCACAAUCAAAUACAAGAUGUGUGCGCAACAACGCAUAUGAAAAAAAGCCUCAUUAAGCAAAAAUGCAUCACAACCAAUUCUAUCAAUUAACAACUCAGUAACACCAUCAUUCACACUACAAUUAUCCACUGCAAUAGAUGAAAAUUUUCUAUCAAUAUUUCAAUCUAGGAAACAUUUCAUCAAACUUGAAGUAAUGACCUCUUUUGUAUGUAGAGUUGGCACAUAUUCAAACCUAAUUAAACAAUCAAUUAUUUACAUUAAUUUAAUAAUUAAUUCAAUAAUAAUAAUUACUUAAUAAAAAAUAAACAUUAUCAAAAUAAGACAAUUUAAUAAAAUAUACUUGAUGAUGCAUUUUUGUAAGUUCCAUUGAUUAUUGAUGUAAUGAGCAGUGACAGCCAUGUAUCCUCUUUUUUGGUGAUCAACAGUCCACAUAUCAGUUGUGAUAGUAAUUCUCCCUUCAUUAGCUUCCAACUUGGAUAUUACUUUUGCCUUUUCCUCUUUGAAAAUAUUCAAAAUAUCACUCUUUAUAGUAUUUCGAGAAGGCAUAGCAAACAAAGGUUAGAGACUGUAAGAAUACUUUCUGAAUUGCACAUGAUCAACCAUUGAUAAAGGAUAUUUAUGCAUGAUUAUCAUGUCGGCAAGCUCCCUCCUUGUGACAUUUUGAUCAAAGGAAAAGUUUUUUAGUGUUACUUUUCCAUCUGCCUUCCUUUGAUUUGCUACCAGCACUUGUUGAUGAAUAUCCAUUUGAAAUCGCUUGCUACACCUCUCUGAAUGUUCACGUAAAUGACUUGUCCCAUUCUUUGAAGCACCACCAAGUUUUUUCUUACAAUAAUUGCAUAUUGCCUUCCAUUCAUUAUUGAUCUUCUCUUUUUUAAAAUGUUUCCAUACUUCUGAUUUUAGCUUACUUGAGUUAUACCCAUUAUCAUCAACUUCAGCACCCUGAUUCAUCACACUUAAUGAUUGAGUUGUAUUUUCAUCAGAUGUUGGAAUUGGAGUUUGCUGAAUUGGUGAUUGAUGUGAGGUAGAAGUAGGAGGUGUUGGGGAACAUGAAUUAUCUCCCAAAUUAGACAUUUUACCUUCAUUCAUAAAAAAAAAUAGAGUUAUUAUUUUUUAUAUUAACAAAUAAAGCAACUGAAUAGAUUAACUAUAUAAAACCAAAAUAAAAAGUUUUAUUAACAAAUAAUUCUACCGAAACAAUUGAAAACCAAACUUAGAAUCUAAGUAUAAAAAAAAUUAGACAAGUUCAUUCCUUAAAAAAAAAGUAAGAGAUUAUCCUACCAUGUACAACUUAGCAUGCACCUUUAACCAAAUAAGAAGGCUAAUUAACAUAUAAAACAAGUUAAAGUAUCUUCAUUUGUCUUAUCAAACUUAAAAAGCCAAGAAACUAUGUAAAGUAAUAAUAAUAAUAAUAAUAAUAACAACAACAACAACAACUAGCUAGUUCAUCAACUUCCUAGAUUAUGAAUGAUUCCUUACAUUAAUUGUAACAAUUCUCAUGUGUGAGUUGAUUAACUUUAUAAAUGUUCCAAGUUAGAAGAAAUUGGGACUAAUUUUAAUUGUAGAUAUAGGUUUUGUACUUGCACCAUUGCAAGAAGCUUUUCUUUAUAGAGAAAUUUUGCUCACAACAUUAGAGUAUGGAAGCUAACAUCUAUAUCCUUGGAAAAGAUGAAUUCUAUUUAAAUCUCUUGGAGAGAGAGUUAUAAAUUUGACAAUCACCUAUAUUUGUGAACGAGGGUGGUUUAGAAAUUGCACAAACUGUGAAACCCCAUGAGUACAAUGCAACUUCUGUUUCGAAUAGGCCAAAGUUCGUUAAAUCGUAAAUAAGACAUGAAUCACCUAAUACUUAUACCACCCAAAAACAAGAAUCUGCUCAAGCUAAGUUGGUAACUAAAAGUAGCAUGAAUGAGGGUAGUUUAGAAACCACCCAUACUGUGAACCCCCCAGAGUGUGGCAAUAGUGGUGGUAAAGUUAAUGACACCCAUGAUUCUGCUUUCAAUAAGCCAUUUUCUUCUUCCAUAUCUACCUUUGGAGGUAUUAGCUCAGAUAAACUGAAAGAUGAGACCAACGAUGGUUCACAGUUUCAGCAAAAGACAAUGUCUGUGAAUUGUGAUACGGGGUGGGGAAAUGGUACAAGUUAGGUUUUAACCCGAUGGCAUUGAUUCGCUGAUUUCUUUACGUGUUAUUAUAAUAUUGUUAAUUUCUUUUUUCAGGUGAGUUACCAGGUUUAUAUCCCUAAGAGAGCCCCUACUUUGGCUAAGAGGCCUCAAGCGCUAGUGUUAAAUCUAAAAAGUUGAUUCAAUGAGGUAAUUUUUGUGAUGACUUGAGAGUUGCAAACAACUAUAAUUUUGCCUGCAACAUCAGUUGGACAACUAUCAAAGAUGGAAAGUGUCAUUUGAUUUAAAACUAUGUUAUUAUAUGCCAAAAAAUGCUAAAUUUACAGCUAAAUAUGUCCCACUGAAGCAUCUAAUUUCAAUUUCUCCUUUUUACUUUAAUUCUAGAAUCUAAUCCCACUGAGUAUUCAAUUCAAAAACCAAGCCAUUAAUGCCACGGACCUGACCCUUGUUGUCUUGUCUCUAAGCUAUUAGCAAGUUUUUAAGAAAAAUACAUAAUAAAAAUGAUUGAUACUUGUAAAUAAGAUAUAUAAAAGAGAUGGUUUUAGCUUACCUCAGAUCUGUUAGUACUAAUGGCGAUUACUGAGAGGAAAGCUUGGCUGUUGCAGUUUUUGUUUCUCAAAAGGGGAAACGGCAGCUUCUAGGGACUAACAAUUGGCUCGUCCUCCUUCUAUUUUCUGUUCGAUUGAAUUUUUUCUUUCUGGCUUGAAGGAUUCCUUUGCUGAAUUAAAGGAAAGAAUCUGGAAAUAUAUGAAACCUAAAUAGAGGAAGAAAGGUGGGAUGGCUAGAUGGGUGGAUAAGCAGAUCAAGUUCAUGGUAGGUGUAGAAGCUGGGCGAAGCGGUAGCGAAGCUCAGGUGGUGAUGCAAAUACGCGGUGAGCGUAGUAGCCCCCUCGGGCAUGCUCCUUGUAGAACCAAGCGAAGAGCUAGUGAGGGCCGGAAUGGAAUAUCGUAUGUAGUGUAGAAUCGGAUCUGAAGCUCUUUACUAGGAUUGGAACAAGCGAGGAACGAGUGACCACAAGCGGAGCUUAAGCGCUCGACAUGCAGUUAGCUCAAAACAUGUUCAUCAUGUGGCCGAGCGAAGCGCACCUGUGUGAAGCAGCCUGGCAUCACUUUAUAUAGAAACAUAAAUGCAAAACGGAUGACUUACAACUAAAAGUAAGGGAGACGAAAGACCUAGAGCGGCC